rnacentral:lncRNA from 1 species
UUUUCUUUCUUAGUUUUGUAUGAAAGGGCAAUUUAGGAUUUUUGAAAGAAAAUCUAAAUUCUUGGACCUAUAUUGUUACUAAACAGUAAAAAUAGAGGAGGUAUAUCUAAUUUUUAAAACCUGAGGGGAGCUCUUCGUAAUUAUGAAAAAUCUCAGAGGAGGUUUGUGAAAUUAUCCCGACUGAAAUUGCCUUAUCAUGAGUUACUUUUCUUAGCUGUCUGCAACAGUUUUGAGCUGUUCAUCUUUCUUCAAUAUCAUCAACCUAGCUACUGCAUCUUUGUCCUGAAUCUAAACCUCAACUAUUCUGUAUUCACAACUCUGAAUGGUCUAAUGCAACAUGUUCCCAGGGAUAAGAACUUGGUUGUUUAGGCCAAUUCUGAUGCUUUCUUGCACUUCUUACCUCGCUUGCUUUUCCACAGGAUCAGACACCAUCUCAUCAGGCCAAUUCCUCUUUUCAAACCAGACCAUUAUCUCUAAAGAAGGAAAUUUUGAACUUGGUUUCUUCAUUCCAGGAAAUUCUAGCAACUGUUACGUUGGAGUAUGGUACAAGAAGAUAGCGGCUCGCACCAUAGUUUGGGUUGCAAACAGAGAGAACCCAAUUGAUUAUUCGUUUUACAGUACAUCGUUCUUGGCACUGCAAAAUGGAAGCCUGUAUAUCUUCAGUAACAAGAACAAUAUAGUCUGAAGUACAAGUUCUAGUUCAAACAUCACAACCUCAAAUACCACUCAGGCAAUACUUCUUGAUAAUGGAAAUCUUGUUUUGGCGAGUGGGAUUGGUGUUAUAUGGCAGAGCUUUGAUUAUCCCACGGAUACGUGGCUACCAGGCGGAAAGAUUGGAUUCAGUAGGAUUACUAACGCCACAAUAGUACUUACUUCCUGGAAGAACAAGGAAAAUCCAGCUCAAGGUCUCUAUUCAUUAGGCAUGGACCCCACCAGCAAUGGUGAGAUUUUCAUAUGGCGGAACAGUAACAAAUUGUGGAGGUCUGGAGGCUGGCAAGCUGGUAGUUUUCCUUCUAUGGAAACGAGUAUUGACGAUAGUUACAAUUUCAGCUACAACUCAAAUGAUGAGGGUAAAUACUUGGUAUACAAUGGCAAUAAAUCCAUCAUAUCUAGAAUUGUUAUCGAUAUUUCUGGGACAAUGAGGCAAUACUUUUGGUUGCCAAGGUUACAAAAAUGGACUAUAUUUAGGUCUUUACCUUCGUCGCUUUGUGACAUAUACUCUUCUUGUGGGGCUUUUGGGUAUUGUGACAUCAGUAGUAGUCCAUCUUGUUGCUGUUUGCCAGGUUUUGAACCCCAGUUCAAGCAAGAUUGGGAUUUGCUAGACUUUUCUGGGGGAUGUAUGAGGAAAAAGCCUAUAAAUUGUGCCACAGGCCAAACAGGAUUUCUAUCGAUACCUACCAUGAGGCUGCCUGCAUACUCAGAAUCACUAGAAGUAGGACGGGCUGAAAUAUGUGAGUUUGCUUGUUCAUUCAACUGCUCCUGCAGUGCUUUUUCCUAUAGUAGCGGUGGAGGUUGUUCAUUGUGGCUUGGUAAUCUGUUGGACAUAGAAAAACAACAGAAUGGAAGUACUGGUGGAGACCUCUAUCUUAAACUUGAUUUGUCUGAGCUUCCUGCUAAAGGUUAGACGCUUCCUUACCGCAUAUUAUGGCCAACUAUGACUUGCCACCAAAUAUCUUUUUCCCAAUUUUCUAGGUCAUAAGAAAUCAUUACGAGUAGCUCUGGCAGCAUCUAUUACUCCUGCAAUUUUCAUAAGCUGUUGUUUCUUUUAUUGUUUGUGGAGAAGAAAGUACAAACAAAAAGGUAUGUUGUUCCUUGUCAUUUAAUGACGCAUGUGUUACUUUUCUUCCCUGCAAUUGGUGACCAAAUUUGCUUCCAGAUUGCCACAUUGGUAUUCUGUCGUAUUGAUAUAAUGGUGUCCUUGAUCAUAUUUGAACAGGGAAUAUAGUACAUCAUCAGAAUCUGUUUCUUCUUGAUUUAAGUAGUAAUAGGGCAAAGGAUAACAAUGGUGCCACAGCCAAAGAUAGUCGGGGAGAAGUGAAGAUUGAGAGCAUUGGGCUGCCAGUGUUCAGUUUUUCAAGCAUUGUUGCUGUCACUAAUAAUUUCUCCUCUGAAAAUAAGCUUGGCGAAGGUGGUUUUGGACCAGUUUACAAGGUAGUCAUUGAGUCUCUGACCGAAUUUUGACUAGGGACAGCAUAAGAAGUUUAUCGAAAAAGAAUAAGAAGGAACAAACAGUGAUGCCACAAAGUAGCUUGCUUCUACCAAAAAAAGAAAAGUAGCUUGGUGCAUGAUUAUGGCGGUUCUUUAUUAUUAGUAUUAUCCUAUGUUCUUGAUAUAAUUCUGAAUCUUCACUAAUACCAUUGGCGCCCAAACUUUGAAUAGGUUUUGGGUUUUUCAUUAAAUUUACUUCUGUGAAAAGCUCAUCUGUUUGUAUCUGCAUAAUUCUGCGGAUAUCUAAGGACGUGCAAGUAAGAUUCACGAUUCACCCGCUAGUCCUUUUGGGAUAUUCAGGGAAGAUUACAGAGUGGUGAACUAGUGGCUGUGAAAAGGCUUUCUAAAAAGUCGGGACAAGGCUUCGAAGAGUUCAAAAAUGAAACAGAAUUGAUUGCAGAACUUCAACACAGAAAUCUUGUUAGGAUCUUAGGAUGUUGCCUUGAACAAGACGAAAAGAUAUUAAUCUACGAGUACAUGCCCAACAAAAGCCUGGAUACUUUUCUCUUUGGUAUGUAACAUCUUGUCCAUCUUUGUCAUCCCUUAUCUGCUCGUACUCGAUUCUGCUAUCAGAAUUUGUUAUUCUCACUACUGCACAUAUCCUUAGAGCCUAAGCAAGAGUUUUUGGAUUGGCAACAACGUAUUCGCAUAAUUGACGGUAUUGCACAAGGCCUUCUUUACCUCCAUCAGUAUUCAAGGAUACGAAUUGUUCACAGAGGUCUGAAAGCUAGCAACAUUUUAUUAGAUGGAGAUAUGGACCCUAAAAUAUCUGAUUUUGGAUUGGCAAGAAUUUUUGGUUUAAAUGAAUUGCAAGCAAAUACAAAUCGGAUUGUUGGAACUUAGUAAGUGUGUACCUUCAAAUGCUUUUUCUACUGAGCCGCACAUCCUAGAUUGUCAUUCCAGAUCCUCUUGGCUAAUCAUCCUUUCCAUUUUUUCAGUGGUUAUAUGUCCCCAGAAUAUGUCAUGGAAGGACUUUUCUCUGUAAAGUUCGAUGUCUUUGCCUUUGGAAUUCUGGUUCUAGAGAUUAUGAGUGGAAAGAAAAACACUGGUCAUUAUGGCUCUGAUAAUAUGACUCUUAUUGGAUAUGUAAGCUCCUGAUCUUCUCCUAUAUCGCUUUGUUCAUUAUUGGAUAUUUCUGAGCCAAAACUAGUAUCUAAAACAUUAAUGUUGACACAAAGCUCCUUGGCACAUGGAUUGCUUUCAUUUUCAGGCAUGGGAGCUGUGGAAAACAGACAGAUUGCUGGAGCUGAUAGAUCCAUCGUUGCAGAUUUCUUCUUCAUCCAACCCUGGAAGAUACAUUACCAUAGGUCUCUUAUGCGUCCAGGAAAAUCCAGCUGAUAGACCAACCAUGUCUGAUGUUGUUGCAAUGUUAAGGAAUGAACAAAUGUCACUAACAUCACCAAAAGAGCCUGCUUUUACAACUUGGAGAAAUUUCUUGAAUACGAGCUCAGAGGGUGGUCAUUUCGCAGUUUGUUCUACGAAUGAUGUUACUAUUUCAUUAUUGGAGGCCCGUUGAAGCCUCCCUCCAAAAGAGAAGAACAACUUUGCAUGAGCCAUUUCCCAACCUUGUGAUCCUUGCUUUCCAGGCGAAGUUCUUUUCAACUUUUUGUGUCUUCUUGCAAGAGUACAACAGAAUUGUCAACUGGGAUCAUGUUUUCUCUAUUCAAUGCGUGUUGGGGUAGGCCAAGCAACCAAGACCUCCGAACUAGUAUCAGAAGUUGCAUAGCCUGUGCAGUUGCAGCUCUACAAGCUCUCAUUUUUGCACUCAAGCAAGCCUAGAUUUGUAUACAGUCUUGCUCUCCCAGCAUCUGUUUAAAAACUCCUGGUUCUUUCAAAACAGCCUUGAAUUUCUACAAAAUAAAUCUAAUAAAUUUCAUACCUCUCUAAUGCCACAACACUCAUCCAAUUUUGUCCUGGUUUGGUUCUAAUGAAAUUAAUUGAAAUAUUAAAUUUUUUCAUGGGCCUUAGUCAUCAAGAGAUCCAUAUGUCAGUAGUAAAUUUAUCCUAAUAAUCUCGCAUCAUAAAUUUAAAGUUGGGUCGGACAGAAAUUCCUCUAGGAAAAAGGGUAGCAAAAUUUUUCAGUUGAAAAUAGUUGAGAAGUUAAGAAAGUGUUGCAAUCCAAAUCAAAAUGGAAAAGACAAUAUCCAAUUGUCGAUUCAAUGUGGCCUGAAGUAGGGUAGAACAGCAAUCACCAUUAAAAUUUCUCAAUUAGAUGCAAUGAGCCAUACCAUCACAAUGACUGUCCAAAUAUUGUCUCAAUAUUGUUCAUGUAGUUAUAGAUAUUGUUCACUCACAUAACUAGGUGCAUGAAUUAUUAGGAUCAAAUCUAAUCUCAAGAACUAUACAUCCACAGAUCCAAAUAUUCACCAAGCAUGCAUGCAACUGCACAUUCUAUUACAAUUUAAAUGAAUUCUUAACGAGCUUGCAUCAAAGUAAUUGUCAUUUCAUCGACCGAUACAGCUCCUAUGCUUGCAGAUGACGAAUAUGGAAGAUUACUACCAUUAUUAACUUUUUUUAUGACAAAUGCAGGCUGUUUAGGAGAAACUGAAGGCAGUGCCGUUCCAUUUGAUAGCAUGGAAAGAACUUGGGACAUGGUUGGCCGAUCACUCGCCUGUUCUUGAACGCACAAAAGGCCAAUUUGAAUGCAUCUCAGUACUUCAUCUUGAUUAUACGAGUCCCUCAUUGAUGGAUCAACUAUUUCCAUGGCCUUAUCUUCUUUCCACAGAUCCCAAACCUUAGGCGUAGAAUCAAGCACAUAUAUCAAAAAACAGAGAGUUUUCCUUUUCGUCAAUCAUAAAUAUGUUAGCCAUGUCAUCGAAUUAGAUUUCAUGACUUCAGAAUUAUGCAAGUGUGCUUACAUAUCCAAUCAAAUUGAUAGCGUUAUCAUGGAAAUAACUGCUAUUCUUUCUGCCGCUGAUAAUCUCCAAGAGCAAAACCCCAUAACUGAAAACGUCUGAUUUAUCAGAAAAGAGCCCUUGCAUUGCAUAUUCUGGUGACAUGUACCCACUGCAAUCACACAUAUAUCAUAUUAAUUAGUACUAUGCUAUUGCAAGUAAUCUCUUCAUAUUAGUAUGCAUUCCAACUUCAGUAGUCUGCAAACUGAGGAUCAGACUCAGAAGUAGCUGACUAUUUAAAAAAAAAAAAGAAAAGAAUCAGAACACUUACUAGGUUCCCACCACUCUGUUUGUGUUAGCCUCCAUUUGACCUGCUCCAAAUAUUCUAGCCAUGCCAAAGUCUGAUAUUUUUGGCUCCAUACCAGCAUCUAGUAAAACAUUGCUUGCUUUCAGAUCCCUGUGGAUAAUUCUUAAUCGCGAAUCCCGGUGAAGAUACACAAGUCCCCGAGCAAUGCCUAGUAUUAUUUCAAAGCGUUUUCUCCAAUUGAGCAAUGCAGCUUUUUCUUUAUCUGGACAAUGCAUAUCGACUAUCCAUCACAUUUUCAUUCAGCAUCUUAACAUAAAUUCUUAUUCAAAUUGAGGGGUGAAAAAUAAUUUCUCAAGGCUGAAGGAAGAUUGAUGAACAAAUAUAGGGCGGCAUGCAAUGCCACUUUUCCGAAUUGUAGAAAGUUAUCAUCGUUUUGUGCUUGUACCAAAUGUUUUUCAAUUUCAGAAAAUGAGAAUGUGCGACCACGUAUGCACAAGAUGAGUAUAGUACUGCUGAUAGAAGCAUACCGAAGAUGAAAUUGUCGAGUCCCUUAUUUGGCAGGUAUUCAUAAACUAGCAUUUUCUCAUCUUGCUGGAUGCAACAUCCCAAAAGCUUAACAAGAUUCCUGUGCUGUAGUCUUGCUAUCAGUGUAACUUCAUUCUUGAAUUCCUCAAUCCCUUGUCCUGAACUUUUUGACAAUCUUUUGAUAGCUAUUUCUCUACCAGUAUGCAGUCGACCCUGAAAUUAGAAUCUAGAAACCAAUAGGUUAUCUUGUCCAGAAGGUAGCAAAACAAGUGGAAAACUGAAUUUAUCAUGGACAAGGAGAAGUCACCAUGUAAACUGUUCCAAAUCCACCCUCUCCAAGUUUGUUAGCAAGGGAGAAAUUGUUGGUUGCUGAAGAUAUGGUUCUUAGGUCGAAAACGGACAAAUCUGUAUUUUCAUCUAUUUCCUUUGUUGUUGAAGAAGCUCCGUAGGACGAUCUUGGACUAAUGUUAAAGCUGAGCAGCCGCUUGAUGUACUGUCUUUUACCUGCCCUUGUACACAAGCAUUUCAAGAAGUCAUAAUGGAAUUCAGAGAAUUAGAAGAAAAAUUCUAAUCGGUAAUGGUUGGUUUAGUUCUCUAAUUAGGUUCUCGUGGAUUGAAGUCAAAUUGUUGAAGCUUAAAGUCAUCGUGUCAUGAUUUUUUGUACCCUGAACUUUGAAGAAAAGAUCAGAAAUUUCUGAGCUUUUAAGUAUGUAUAUCUAUGAAGCAAAAUUUUACUGCCAAAUCCAUCUUGCAAUAGAAAGAUACAAAUGCAUUAUUGUAAUUCAAAGUAAUUUGUUUACCUUUUCUAUUCUUGAGUACCACCCAUGACAAAAAUAGCAGUAUGAGAACUCCUGCUGCAGAUGCUACAACAAUGAUUACCAACUUUUUGCUCCGCGAGCCCUUUGAACUCUUUAGAAAUUCAGCUGCAAAGAUGGAAAGACCACUCAAUUGAUUAGCUCAGCAUGUUGCAAACAAGUCCAAUUUGUAAAUAUUUAAGAUUAAAAAACCUGGGAAGUUCCUAAACUAAUUUAUUUUUGAUCCCUCAUCUAAAUUUUGUUUCUGAUUGGCCUUAAACAAUUAAAAUCACAUCCUUUAAGGACUUCGGUGACUUUAGACAUAAAUUUAGCCGAAUUUAAAGGGCUUUUUUGUCAGUUCACAAUUAAAGUAGUGGCACCAGCAUUAGAAACCCUAAAAAAAAAAGGCAAUCCUUCAACGACUGCUAAAGGAUUUGAAGAAGAAGAAGAAGGACAGGGUGUAAAAAUGAAACUUGAAAAUGCAUAGCCAAUAGAUUGUACAUAUGGAUAUUGGAGUGUCUCUUUUGUUAUUGGAUUAAAGGUAGCAACGGAUGAUUCUUUGUCCAUUAGCAAUGAAUCCUCCUUGGAAUAGCAGAUUGCAUGAUCUUUUAGUGCCUUGGGAACUGAAAAAGAGUACUUGGCAUUCCACUUGGAAUCAACAAAGCCGUAGAGUCCUCUUGAUCUUUCCAGGAAUAUUAGACAUGGAGAGAAUGUGUUGGUGGUCCUCAUCGGAAUGGUGGAGUCGCAGAGUCUGUUGACACAUCGGAAGUUUAUACAGCCAACAAAAGAAAGUUUUCUAGCAGUGAGAGCAAGUAUUUUUGAAGGGACAUCACACAACAAUUUCCUUUAUUUUGCUUCUCCUGAUCUAUUCCCCACCAAACUCUUCACCUUGAUUUCCUUUUGUUCCACCUCCAUCCGUCCUCUUAGUUGUUCUUCUUCUUCUGAUUUCCCAGAGAUUCUAACUAUUUCUUGCUGAUGAUUACUAGUGUCUCCCCUAUGAUGAUUAUCCUUAAAAAAAAACCCUAAAAAGAGGCAAUCCUCGAUUUUUCACAGGAUUUUUUGAAGAAAAUCUAACGGUGUUUUGAAGCAAUUGAAGGGCCGCCUCUUUUUAGGGAUACUUAGUCUUGAUACUUCAAUUGUAAACGGAUCAAAAUACCCUUUAAAUCCAGCCAAAUUUAUGCUUAAAGUAACUGAAAGUCCUUAAAAUAUGCAAUUUUAAUUGUUUAAGGACCAAUCAAAAAUAAAUUUUAGAUAAGGGAUCAAAUGUAGACAAUCACAAUAUUUUAAAGACUCCCCAAGUUUUUUACUCAAUAUUUAAUUAUCUCCUUUCCCUUUUCCUUUUCUUACAGAAGUAAGAAAUUGUUUAAUUAAACCUAAUCUCAAAUUUAACUUCGAAAGUCGGCAAAUUUUGAGGUAAAUCUGGGGACUUAACUAUCCAACCCUUGACCCAGUUGGGAUCCUCUAUACCACUAUUCGGUGUCAAAUUUAGUGUCAAUUCCACUUAUCAUAUAAUAGUAGAAAAAAUUUAAAUAAAUAGCACAUGAUAAAUUAAAUAAAUAGGACAUUUGACCUAAAUAUAAAAGUGGCACUGAAUUGUUACUGAAAGAAUGACACUGAAAAUCUUAUGUGCCCUUGACCCCCCAAGAACGAUGAGCAAGAACGACGAGGGAUAGACAGAAUAGAGAAGCUAUAAGGAAGCUAUAAGGCUGCUGCUGCUAAGGUUAAGACCCCGCAAACCUCAGAAAUCGAUGUCAAUCAUUCAGAGGAAAGAAAGUCUCGAAACAUCGACUGCCGGGCUUGACUCCGAGUCCAUUUUUCCUUUUUCCAUAUCACUUUUGAUUCGUGUAUGGAGUACGUUUUUAUCAGUAAUGAAUUCGUCAUUGACUGGAUGUCAAAAUGUGAUUGAAUCGUCUCUAGCUAACUCACUGACGAAAUCUAGUGCUCCUAAUUUUCUCACUUUUGAGUCCCUUUCAUGGGAAUUGAAACAAGAAAUCACAAAGAUUGGUAAAUGAACAAUUGAUAAAGAAAAUUGACAGCUUACCUAACUCCGCGGCUGUAACUCUGAUGUAAACAUCCUGGCCCCCAUUGGAAAACUGCCUGAUAUCUAUCAAGCUCCCGUACCAAGUGAUGCAGCCACUUCCACCACGACUGAUAUUAGCACUUGCAUAAGCUGUGCAUGAACAAUUUCUUAAGCACAAAUCCUGGCACUCUUUUGAUCCCACACCCUCAUUCACUCUAGCAUUUGAAGUGUCAGGAACCUUCACAAAGGUCAAUUUUAUGAAUCCGUCAGUGCUGUUUCCGCACGUCUUUUCUCCUUGCUUUCUGGUGCACCCAUUGAUUGCAUCCCUCAGAUACCAUUCACUUUUCACCUUAGGCACAAAACCUGGAAGACAUUUACACUCGAAUUCACCCAAAUUGUAAGGGUCACAGUCACUGAAUGUGCCACAAUGGCUGUAAUAGUCGCAUUGAUCCUUGGGGGCAGACCAAAAUUUGACCCAGCUAUGCUCACCUCCUUGCCAAGUUAGCCUCUCCAUGGUCCCUGAUUCAUUUAAUGCUAAUCUAGAAAAAAUAUUGGGAUCGUGAAUACUAUAGGAGAGGCUAACUCCAUCAUUAUUAUCGACAUAGCUAACUGUGAAGAUGAACUUUGAAGUCAUGUCUGGUACUCCACUCAAUUGGAUCCCAUUCCAUGGCCCUGUUCGCCAUAGCCGGUCUGAUCGUUUGUACAAAAAGAAUUGGGGUGAGCCAUUUAGCUCCAUGUUGAAACGAAAAUCACCCGUCCCAGGAUCAUCUUGUGACUUCCAAGAGGUCAGGACUGUCUUAAAUCCAGAUGUCCGGUUCACCCCAAGUUUCAUGUGAGGAAGCAAAGUAUUAGUGGGAAAAUCAAAACUUUGCCAUGCUACAAUGCUUCUGCUUUGAUCUUGAAACAACAUCAAAUUCCCUGUUUCAGUGAGCUGAACAGAAGAAGAGCUAGUGGAUAACAUGCCUGAAACAUUGGUGGACCAUAACAAAAGGUUGCUGGAUUCAUCGCGUAGAAUAAGAUUUCCUGAUUUUUCAAUGGAUACAACUCCAUUGGUGCCAUUUACGGGACUGUCCCUAUUGGCUACCCAGACAACAGUUUGUUCUGGAACUUUGUUGUACCAGAUGCCGAGAUAUCGGUUUCCAGAAAUUCCAGGGCUAAAGAAACCAAAAGCAAAGGAGUUUCCACUGGAAACUAAAAGAUCUCCAUCUUUGAAAGAUUGGUUUUGUGUGAUGGAGUCCUUGGAAGUGCAAUACUGGAUAAGAAUCAAGAGGAGAGAAACCAAUAAGUACCUUUUCCGGUGUUGCAUGGUUCCUUCGAGGCUUCUUGCUUUUGGCAUUUGGAAGUUUGAAAGGGAGUGUGUUGGAAUGCCACUUUUGUGCAUAGACUCAUCAAAUACAUGUGUACAAGUCGUUGUGAAAAUAGAAUUUAAAUAAAACAAAAAGAAAAUAGUGGCCUUGUUUGGCAAGCAAGUUUUUGACCAAUUUUAUCUGUCACAAGUUUUUUAACAAUUUUAGUUACAAUAAUCUUAAAAAACUUCUCAAAAUUUUUAAACUAUACAUUUUAAAAUAUUAAAAAAUUUACACAUUUCAAAAAAUUUUUUUACAAUUUCUACAGUAAGUUACAGUAAAGUUUUAGACAAACAUCCAAAAAAUUCAUUCAUCAAACGGGGCCAUUAUUUAAGGAGAUUCUUGAAACAUAGGCAGCAUGUUAAUUGAAAAAAUGGUUCCCAUGAGUUCACUAACUUUCUGACUUCUUCACUUAACGGAUAUUGUGAGCUGUAUUCUGCAAAGUUUUAAUACUAAGCACUAAGCAGGACACCCGUGCAACUUCAGGUGUGCUUUCCUACAAAAAAUUUCUGAAGUGCUCAUAAGUUAUGGAAAGGGAAGUAGUCCAACUAUAAGAUAGUGAGAUAUCUAUGAUCAGGUUUAUGCUGAUAUUUACACAAAUGAUAUAUUUUUUUUUAAGUGUAAGUGGAAGGGCUCGAUCCGAAACCUUUUACUUGGACUCUCUCUCGAGUCAUCCAAUCCAUUCCUCCCCUUUGCGACUGACAUUGGACUCUACUGAUUGUUUUUUUUAUUUUUUUGAAAGUUUUAGAGUUUCUUUUAGUAACUAUUAGUACUAUUGACAACAUUUUUGGGCUUUGUAUCAUCAGCAAGUAUGAAAUUUCCAAAGAGCCAGUAUCAAGCAGACUCGGGGCACGGACGGUUGCAGGUGCAACCGUCCCAGGCGGUUUUGGUCAUUAUCAACUGCGCGUAACUUUCUUUGUACAUCGUGUAACUUUUUUUGCACAUCGCGUAACUUUAGAGCAAAUUUUUGUGGGAGCCCACACAUGGCGUGGAAAUCGAGUUACACCUUGUAAUCUCAGCCGCACAAAAUUUUGAGGCCAAAUCAUGGUCAUUAACCGCUCAGGGACAGUUGCACCUGCCCCAUUUCCGUAUCAAGCAUUCAAUGCUACGGUGAUAAUCAUAAGCCUCUCUUUAAUUAAUGCAAUGAGGUUCAUCAUAUUUAAGUAAUUGAUUGAUACGUACCACAGAAGCAUUGGUACCGUCUGGUAGAUUUUUCAACUACAAAAACAAAAAAAAAAAAGCUUUCUCUGAGGGUCCAAUUUCUGCAGGUAUAACACAAAGGUAGCAUUUUGUGAAAUAGAAAAAAGAGGAGGUAUGGUAAUGUAAUGUGCACGUAUUUACCUUUGAUUUUGCAUUUCGCAUUAGAACAAGUGUCCAUCAAACGUUGAAGAGUCAGAAUCACAUUAAAUUCGAUGUACCUGUUUCCAUUAAUACUGACUUUUGCCUCUCAGUGUAACUUUUGCACCAUUUAAUCCAUUUUUGCUUAACAUCGCCAUAAAAAACUUGAUCAAAAUAUGGGAAAUUACUGCAGCCCCCCCCCCCUCUUUUCCUCUCCUCUUCCUUUCUAAUUUAGAAGCACAAAUGCUUUUUCUGCAAUUGUAUCAGUCACUUGCCAUUUCUCCUUCAAGUGAUAUUCUUGAAAUUCAUAGUCAAAACUACACAUGAACAUUAGAUCACAUAAAGGUACUGUAGUUGCACUCUGCGUACAACUAUGGUAAAAGUUGCAAUGAAUUUUGGUUAUCUACCCUCGAGUACAGUGACAGUUACGUCACUGGUUGGGCGUUUUUCGACUGGAUCUUCAGUAUCGUACAUACUCCUCUCACCAUAGAAACCUGCAGGCUGUUUGGGAUGGGGUAGCACCAUAUUCGCACUAUCCAACAUCAACACCACAGAGGACAUGGUUGGUCUGUCUUCAGGGCAGCGCUGCACGCACAAGAGGCCUACUUGGAUGCAUCUUUCUACCUCUACUAUGUUAAAUGACUCUUCCAUCAGCUCAUCGAUUAGAUGGCAAGCUUUCCCCUCACUCCAGAUAUUCCAGGCCUGACAAGCAUAGUUCAACAACAGAUAAACGAAUUUUUUUUUUUUUUUAUGCACAGACUAUUUGUCUGUAGGAAGGAAAAUAUAUGAGCUUACAUGUCCCAAUAGAUUAAGGUUGUGAUCAGGACGAUAGAAAUCUCUGUUCCUUCUGCCACUAAUUAUUUCCAAGAGCAAUACUCCAAAGCUGAAGACAUCUGAUUUCAUUGAAUAUAGCCCAUUGGUCACGUACUCAGGUGCCAUAUAACCACUAUGUAUGUUUAAAGAGUGUUAGAAGUCACAAACGAAGAAAGAAGUGUUGGCUCAAGGAAGACUCUUAAGGCCCGGUAGAUUAUCAAAGAAACGAUAAGCAUGCUUACUGAGUCCCGAUAACCCUGGUGGUUUUGGCUAAAAGCUGCUCCUCUUCAAAAGCUCUUGCAAUCCCAAAAUCAGAAAUCUUGGGAUUCAUCUCACUGUCUAAAAGAAUGUUGCUAGCUUUCACGUCCCUGUGAAUGAUCCUCAAUCUUGAAUCUCUAUGAAGGUAGAGAAGCCCCCGGGCAAUCCCAAUAAUAAUGUAAAAUCGCCUCAUCCAUGUAAGCUCUUUCCUUGUGGUACAAUCUGCGGCAACUUCUAAUCAGAUGACCAGAUAGCCUUCUAAUAUAGAGGAGGGCAUCAGGAAAAACAGAAUUUCUGUUUCUUGAAGUGGAAUUCAAUAAGCAAGAGAGUCUGAGAUUGCUAACCAUAAAUAUAGUUGUGCAAGCUUUUAUUGGGCAUGUAUUCGUAAAUAAGCAUCCUCUCUUCACCAUGAAUGCAGCAUCCCAAAAGUCUAACUAGAUUCCUAUGUUGAAGUUUGGAAAUCAAGCUAACUUCAUUUUUGAACUCAGUCAGCCCUUGCUUGGAAUUUAGGGAGAGCCUCUUCACUGCAAUAUUUUGUCCUGUUGCAAUUUGGCCCUGUAAAUUGCAGAAAAGUUUUCCAAAGUGUCAUUCCUGUUCAAUGUGCACAGUUAUUUGUACAUUGAAUUAGACCCCUGAUCUCUCUCUCUCUCUCUGUGGACGGUGUGUGGUAACUACAAGAAAAACAACAUUCCUGUUUGUUUAUGAUGACAAGUCCAGGAUUGAUUGCAGUGGAUCUCUCUAUCUAUUUUACAGCUCCCUGUCUAUAUGAGCCCAAUGAACUCCCGCCCUUUAUAUUUGUUAAGAAUAGCUAAUGCAGUUGCUUGUUUUUUAGUAUACCUUGUAAACAGGUCCAAAACCACCCUCACCAAUCUUGUUUGAGUCAGAAAACUGGUUGGUUGCUUCUGCAAUGCUAAUCAUAUCAAAAGUCGGUGAUUUGAGCUCUCCCAUACUACUAGAUCUGGGCUCAGGUUUUCUUCCUACAACUGCAGUUUGUUCAACAAUAGACCAAAAGUAGCAUAGAAAAGGGCCUUGGAAUCUCACAUUAGAUUAAACACAUCAAAGAAUUACCAGAUAACCACAGUCAACAAGGUUCCGUGUAAGUGUGUUUAUAUGAAACUGUGUACUACUUAUAUGCCAAUAUAAGAGUUAAAAAUUGAAAUGCCGCAGCAAAGUUCUUAAAAAAUUCUAUACAGAUGUACAUAUUUGUUUCUGCCACCGGAAAACAGUAGUGUGAAUUUUGUUGACAUUAAUAAUUCAAAAUCCUGUGUAAUACAUCAUUUUGGUAAAUCAUAUGGCAGUCACAGAAGGAAAUUGACUGUCAGAUUCAGGGUCUAAAGCCUGAAACGUUAGGACCUCGUGGCCCUGACACAAAUCAAGAGAAAAAGUAGGAAAGACAGUCAAGGAAAUGGGAAAGUUACCUUUGCUGUAUAAUUUUUUUCUCCAGACAAGAUAUAAGGUUCCAAUAAGCAUCGGAAAUGUUACAGACACAGGAAUUGUUACCAUCAUGAGGUGUUUUUUCUUAGGAUGUGACGAUGAUUCUACAAGAAGACAUGGUCAAAAUGUCACCGCUAGAAAAAGGAACAUCUCCAAAUGUAUAUAGAAGAAAUACUGCUAGAAUACAGAAAUAAUACCAAUAUCCUCGGCUGUAACACGGACAUGAAAAGUCAGACGAUUGAAGGAAUCAUGCCUUUGUAAAUCGAACAAAUCCUCAUACCAGAGCAAGCAAUUACCAUUCUCACCUCCACUGGAGUCUCCAGUGGAAUAAGCUGUGCAGGAACAAUUCUUUAAACACUCCUUUUGGCAAUCAUCGAGGUUCAUAUUAGAGUAGAUAUUGAAGUGCACCGUGUCAGGUAUUUUAAUUCCAGUCAUCCUAAGAAAUCCUUCAUUCUGUGGACAGUUCAAGGGGUAUUUCCUAAUGCAACCGUGUGAUGAAACAAGCAUAUUACUAUCUUCUGGAGCUUUAGGCACGUAACCUGUUAAACAGCUGCAGGGCUGAGUAGUGUAUGAUGUGCAUAUAGCAUUUGGACCACAGCUGUCGUAAUUUUCGCAAGUUUCACCAGGAUGAGUGCGUAUGUCAAACCACACAAGGCUUUUGUCGUCCCAAAUGAAGAAUCCAAUGGUUCCUGUAUAACUCAAAACUACAAUUGAGAAUUCAUUAUUUGGAUCAAACUCACUGUAAGCCUCUUCUGGAGUAGAUAUGAACUUGGGCUUGAAGAAAACAUUUGGUCUCACUGAAGUUCCAUUUAAAAUAUGAAGAUCGUAUGAUCCACUUCGGAAUAUCUUUCUCGUUCCCUUUUUCAAGUAGAAUUGGGGAAAGAUGCCGCGAUCAAUAGCUAAAGAGAAUUCCCCAGGAGAUGGGUCCUCUGCACUCUUCCAAGAUGUUAAAUUCCUGUUUAAGCCAUUUCUAAUAUCCCAUCCCAGUUUCAUGCCAGCUAAAAGUGUAUCUGAAGGAUGAUCAAAGCUCUGCCAAAGAUAGGUCUGAUCAGAUUUAGUAUCACUUUCAUACCGAAGAACUAGAUUUCCCGAGUCCAGAAGCUGCGCUUGGGUAGCUGUCGUGGAUAUAUUUAAGAUAUUUGUAGACCAUGCCUUUUUUCCCUGGGAAUUUUCAAGUAUCAAGUUGCCAUCAUUUCCAAUCUUCAAAAUCCCAGAUGCAUCAUUCAGAGGAGAGUUUCUAUUGGCAACCCAAACCACAGUCUGUACUGGGAUUUCAUUAGGCCAUAUCCCCAGGUACCGUAAAUUAGAGUUUGGAGGAGUAAGAAAACCAAGCCUAAAUUUCUUGCCUACAGACGUUAAGCUGGAGCUAUCAUUGAAAAGUUGGUAUUGACUGAGCCUGUCAUUUGCUGCCAAUGUUGUUGUUGGAUACAAAACCGCAAAAGAAAUCUGGCACAGUAUGUAGAAGAGAUGGCGUCUAGCGAACUGCAUGAUGCUGCUUAUCUAGUGAGCAGUCAUCAAACUGUGCUUGAACUUGGAAGUUAUCGUCAGUUCAAAAGCUAGAGACCGAUUCUUAAGGCCAUCCAUUUCAGAAAUGGCUGAGGCAUUAUUAAUGGUACAGUGGAAAAAAAGGAAAAAAACUGCCAAUUUAUUGCUUUUUGGCUUUGAACUAAGCUCUAUCUUUACUUAAAGUCUGAUAGACAAGGAUGGUAUUGGAGCUUUAUCAGUCAAGCCGGAUGGGUACUCAGUAGUUGGUAGUAUCCCCUCAAUACCCAGUUAAAAGGAAAACAAUGCCAAUGCGGUUGGUAUAGGGUGCGGUUGGGUGCGGUUGAUGGACAGGAUUAAUCUGCACAACAUUAAACAUAGACGGGGGGAGAUGCGAAGAAGAUAGGCGGCAUCAUUUUGGGUAGCAAGAAAAAAAAUAAAACGAAACAAAAUUAAAAGAGCCAACUCCGCUCAAUUCACCGUAAGUCAAGUCCCGCGACAAUAAACUUCCAUAAGGUUUCUUUUCUGGGCAAAUUACACUUUACCCUCUUAUGGUUUAGUAUUUUUUUACAUAACUCUCUUAUGAUUUCAAAAAUUAUACAUAAUCCUCUCAUAAUUUAGAUUAAAGUGUCAAAGUGAUGGAAAUGAUCAUUUGUAAUGGAAUCACCUAAAAUAUAAAAAAUACUCUUAUAUAAAGUUGAAAAUGGUUUAUUAACCAAGGGGGGUUAAGUGUAUAUUUUGAGAAUUAUAAGGGGUUAUAUGAUAAAACAUAAGAUCACACAGGAUUAGUGUAUUAUGUAUUUAUAAGGGUAAUUUUGACAUUUUAAAGUUCCGUUAUGAAUGAUCAUUUCCGUUACUUUGACACUUUAAUUCAAAUCAUGAGAGAAUUAUGUAUAACUUUUGAAACUAUAGAGGAUUAUGUGAAAAAUUGCUAAAUCACACGGAGAUAAAGUAUAAUUUGCCAUUCUUUUUUUUUUUGAUAACUCUUCCAUAAGCUUUCAAUGUAAAUUUCACAAGGUUGAGACUUGUUUCCAAUAUUUUUUUUCCUCCAGUUUUGCCUCUAUCUGAAUGGGAAAGUAUGGGACCUGCCCUAAAGUAAAAAUAUGAGAAAAUCAAUCAAAAUAUCUCUUACAUCUCAUCAAAUGAAUUUUUUUUCCUUCAUUUUUAAAAGGAAAAUUUGACCAUUUGGUCCCUCACAUUUUCUGAAAAAGUUUUUUAGUCUUUCGGAUUCAAAAUCAGUCAAAAUAAUUCCAUAGAUAUAAAAAGAAGUCUGUCUAUUUGAUCCCAAAGCUUAUUUUCACUCAUUUCUCUGACCAAAAACCACAUGCUUGCCUCGCGUGCUCAUUCCUGUGAGCAUGGUUUGUGCUUGAAAUUAUGAGCAAGUGAGGGAGAUGUGUGUUUUUUGGCUAGAGAAGUGAGCAAAAAUGAGAUUUGGGAUCAAGUGGGCAGAUUUUUUCAUAUUUAAGGGACUAUUUUAGCUAACUUUGAAUGUGAAGGAGGGACUACAAAUUUUUUUUUUUUUGGAAAUGUGAGGAACCAAAUUGAAAAAUUUCCCUUUUUAAAAUACUAACUUUAUUCCCUUACAAAGUCAAGUUAGUAAAUUUUGGUCCCAAUCUAGGGUCCUGUUUGGCAAGUAAGUUUUUAAGUGUUUGUCUAAAAUUUUACUGUAACUUACUGUACAAGUUUUUUAAAAAAUUUUUGAAGUGUGUUUUUUUAAAAAAUAUUUUGAAAUGUAUAGUUUAAAAAUUUGGAGAAGUUUUUUGAAGUUACUGUAGAUAAAGUUUUUUAAAAAACUUGUAGCAGACAAAUUUGGUAAAAAACUCAAGUGCCAAAUAGGGCCUAGAUUUUUUUUAUCACUUUUUUACUUUAAAUUCAUCAUGUGACCUACGCAUAAUCAUUUUUUCAGUGACAAAAAGGUUAAAUCCCAUUUAUAAUUAAAAAAUGAUUCUAUUUAUAUUCAUUUUUGCUUCUAAAAGAGUAGGAUAUGGCCCAAACCAUAUUAUUUUUGCUUGAAAAAAGAGGGGAUCCAACCUAAUCCGUAUUCAUUUUUGCCACUAAAGAAGUAGGAUCUAACUUUUUUAUACAUAAAAAAUGACUGUAUAUGGGUCACAUGAAGAUUUCAAACUAGAAAGUGGUCAAAACCUAGGUUGAGACCAAAUUUUACUGAUUUAAUUUUGUAAGGAAUAUAAAGUUAUUAUUUUAAAAGUGAAGGAUGAAAAAAUUCAUUUGACAAAAUGUGAGAAAUGUUUUAAUCAUUUUUCUUAAAAAUAUAUACCUAACCAUGUGUACAAUAUGCAACGAGGUUUGAUUUAAAAAAAAAAAAAGGGACUCGGCCGGAUUCCCUGAUCCUUUUUCCUUUCCUUUUUUUUCCCUUGUCCUAGAUGCAUUUUUCAAAUGGGUUUAGAGUUAACUAGAUUGAGAACAAUCCCGCAAUUAACUGUAUUUGAGCGAAUUUUUCAAAAAAGAACAUUAUUGAUAGAAUUUGGCCAAUCGAAAAAUGCCUAACGACCUUGCAUAAAAUCAUAAGGGAAUUAUGUGGAUAAUAGUGAAAAAUAACAAGGAGAUAAAGUGGAUAGUCAUACAAAUACAGGAGAGUCAAGUGAAUACAGUGAUUCUAUUUCACACAUAGCGCGUUUGAUUCAAUCACUGCAACUGGUGAUGCUUUUCAUCCAUUUUUUAUUUUAUAUAAAUCGAAGGGAUUUGUAUGACUAUUUUGAAACAGGGUCAUACAACAUUAUAUAAAACUACAAGGGUGCUAAUAUUCUACAAAGCCAUUGUGAGGCACUCACACUCUAAUAAGAUGCUUCUUGACGAACCCAGGAGUUGACUGACUUUGUCACGAAUUGGUAACUUCCGCAUUUACACUUUUGAUCCGUGUAAGGAAUUUUAUUCCUAAAUCUACGACUGAGCCUAUCUUAAGAAAAUUGCAGCAGCCGACUAGUUUUCUUCUUAGAGUAGAUGAAAUGGCAUAAUACAGGAUUUGUUAUGGUGGUCCAUUUGAUUGAUUUAAUUUCCAAUCCAAAUCCAUCGUGUCUACCGAUGAUGAAUGGCUACAUUUUGUAGAAGACAAUAAGUAGUCUCUCAAUGGGUAAAAAAUCAAUUCAUGACGGUGACUAUAUAUCAAAUGUCUACAACUACUUCUGAAAAUUCAAAAUUGUAGGGGCCUCAUAUUCCCCCUCAAGCAGGGAAAAUGGUAUUGUCAUUUCGCAUCUGGAUCACCACUCCACUCUGUAGGCAAAUUGACUGAGCCCAUAAAGCAACAUAACUGGACAGUGGACACCAAUACGCCAUUGACUGUAGGUACUAUUAACUUCUUGAGCAUGGCAACUUUAUGAGAAAAAAAUGACGGAUUUUUAAGAAUAUUGUCAAAAUUAAAAAAGUUCAGAAAUUGGAGGUAGUCCAGAGAGGUUUCUGAUUUAAGGGUCGCCGCAUUUUAGGUAAGCGGCUAUCAAUAAAAUUAGAAUUAAUUUGUAUUUAUUUUUGGUUGUCAUAAUUUUGUAUAAUUUGUUCAGAAAUUUUUUUUUUUUUUUUUUAUUUUUGGCUUACAAUGACUUGAUAGGACGGCAGGACCACAGCUAAUACAAUUCAAUUUUUUUUGAAUAGUUUAUAGGCUGAGGCAAAUGGCUAACACGGAAAAGUUAGGAGGCUUUAGCUAGGCAGGACGUCAGCUUUUUGACUUUUAAGCGGCAUCAAAAACUUUUUUUUUAAUUGAAAUUUUGCGGCGUCAAAAUUUUUUAUUUUUUCCACCUUUGAUCAUAAUGUGAUAAACGACGCAUAUUGUCGGCCAAAAUAUUUUCUUUUAAAGUGAGAAGGCAAUUAUUGAUUGAUUUGCGCAAAAAUUAAUUUUUUUAACUGAAAAAAGUUUAUAUACUAAUUAUUACAUUCUAUAAAUAUGGUAUUAUUUAUCAUUAUUGAUUGCGAUAAUAAUAUUAUAAAAUUUAAAAAUAUACUUAGGCAAAUUUUAUUAGUAAUUUAAUAGCAUACUUGAUUAUCAUCUUAAUUUAUAAAUUUAAUAUUAUUCUAAUAUCAUAUUUUAAAUUUUUGAUAAUUUUAAUUUAUAAUAAAAUUUUAGUAAUACGAUUUAAGAAUUUUAAUUUGAAAAGUGUUACACUAUAAUUUGAAAAUUAGUAUUUCGUGUAAAACGUAAAACCCUAAAUACGCCUAUUUAAGGUUACGUUUUACGGGAGAAAAAAUUUGGUCGCGUCGCCUUUUAUUAAAUAUUAAAUAACUUAUUAAAAAUUACAUAUUAAAUAAUAAAAGGUAGGAAGAAUUUUUUGAAGAAAAAAAAAAAAAGAAUGUAUCGCCCUGAUCUUUUAGAAUGGAGAUUUCACUCUCCCGGGCAGAACCGGUCUUUGCAAGUCAACAAUGUCCAAUAGGGUCAGUCAAAGUUUCCUGCAACUGGUCUUUCCUUUUUUUUCAUAACCUUCUGCCCAUUCGUCCUAUUCAAGAUAUCCAAUGGCUAGUUCCUUUGCUAUCUAUGGAUGAUACGAUUUAAAGUGCCACAGCUCCUUCUUCACUUCAAGAAGAGCUUCUUUUCUCUAAGCCCUUCUUUAUUGUCAAAGCCCUUUUUUGUCCUUACCCCUUUUGCUUCGCACCUUAGCAAGUUUCCUUUGCUUUGAAUCGGAAUAGCUAUCCAAACCUACGGCACUAAGAUGAAUUCUUUCUAUUGGCCCUAUGGGUUCUUCCUUAUUUUCUUAGUACUUUUUGAUCCGGAGAUAAAGACAAAUCCUUCGCGGCUCAUGAGUUGAGCGGCGAUGGCGAAGAAAAUUCCUUCCCCGCUUAUUUCAUGAGCGGCGAAGUGUUUUUUUUUUUUUUAAAAAAAAUAGAACCAAAAUAAAUAAAAAUUAAAAAUCUUUUUAUUAGUAGUCUCACGUCUCAAUUGCGGCGACCUCUUAUUCCACAAUACUCCUCACGGAACACCAAUUUUCUGAACUUUUUCAAUUUUGACAAUAUUCCUAAAAAUUCGCUGAAAAAAAUUGCAUCCUUUAUUGUGUUUUAUUCUCGUUUCUUCACUAUCCCACAUCUGCUUUAUCAAACAAUUCUGAUAAAAUCUGAACUGGUCUGUGUCAUCCUCUCUCUGCAGCUGGACAGACCGCAAAAAAAUUUUUUUUUUUGCAUGUUCAUUAGUAUUCAAAUAAUUACAUAGUAUUACAAAAUUAAAUGAAACAAAGCAUUAACAAUGUUUACAAAUUACAAUUGAACUGACGACUUAAAGUGUAUUCAAAGAAGGAAAGAAAAUGACUCGAAACCACUUCGUUGCCUUUCAUGUGCCACAGAAAAUUAAAAUAAAAAAUAAUUAAUGAUACUUUCCAUCCAAUUGGACCGGCACUAUCAUGCAUGUAAAUUCUUUCUUCGUAAUAGCCCUAUAGAAUUUCUCAAAACUCAAGUAAGAUGGCAAAGCUCUUUUGAAAAAAAAAAAUUGGAAAAUGCAAAAAAAAAAAAAAAAAAACUAAGAAUCUAAGAUGGCAAAGAGUUAAAUGAAGUAAAUGUAUAUUGUGUUCAAGUUGAUUUACAUACUGAACAAAUGCAUGUUUUGUUUAAAUACAUGAAACUGUUCCUGCACUGUUUCAUUGGUAGCAGUUUCAGCCUCGAAUCCGCACCGCGCACGCAUAAGGAAAUUAUUCAAGAGAUAUUUAUCAUUUCCUUGAACGGAAGUUACGUGAAUCUCUUUUGGUUCACAGUUGGCUGAGUUUAUGACGCGACGCGUUCUGGGACUGCAUACGUACAUAAUUAAGGAAUGAUGUUCCCACCAUAGCAAUGACGAACAAAUAAGAAAAUUAGUUAACAUUUCUUGGAAGGGAAAAAUGCACUUUUCAUCCUCAAAGUUUACGGGGUUGACCAAUUUCAUCCUCAAUGUUUAACCCCAAACAAAUUUCAUCCUCAAAGUUCCGUAAUUUUGACCAAUUAAGGACAAUUGACGGGAAUUGGAGGACAAAUCAAAUAUUGGGACGGAACUUUGCACGUGAGAAGCACAAUUCGUCAGAUCCAACUUUAUACCCAACAUAACCGGGUCAAACCGAAUGGAUCCACUUUUUCUAACGGACAAAAAACACAAAAUAGCACAAGGAAAAAAGCUCCUGUCUUCUCCUUCUUUCUUCUCCGUUCUCAGCCCUAAAAAUUUUUUUUGCCAAUCGUUUCAUCCAUUUUUCGAGCAUCUGCUGGCAAGAAGGAAGGCAUAGACGGCAUCCGUGGAACAUUUUAGGUGAAGAAAAAAAUGGCAUUGCGGAAGAAAGAGCUCCACAUUUGUCCACCUCCAAAUUACGGUAUUUAUACCCAAAAUCAACAACUACAUUGCAUAAAGAUAUCUGUUUUUUUGGAGAAGGAAACCUGAUAUGUGGUCCCUUGUGUUUGUACUUUUUCCCCACUACAAUUUACGGCUAUUUUUUUUCCAGAUCUGGCCAUUUGCAUGAGGUAUAAAUAAAUCCAAAAAUUUGUCUUGGUUUGAUUAUUAUAGUGUGAAUGUGGUCCCUUAUGUCUGAUGAUAGUUGCCGCUUGACUAUAAAUUUGUGAUGAGAGUGAUUAAUAAACAAUAACACUUGGUAUAUUUUGCCGGCCAUGUGUAUCUGACCAUGUGUAUGGAAAAAGUGCAAGUGGUCCUUGUUUGGUAGUUUUUGUGUGGGUCAACAGUUUGUUGUGCUGAAAUGAUGAAGCUUUUUUUUUUCCUAAAGAGUCUGAUCUAUAUUAUUUUCUUUAACCAGAAACGGGCAGCACAUUUAUUACAUUAAGAUGUCACCAUGGAGGCCUCAUUUCAUAUACUCCUGAUCCCCAUUACGAAGGUGGAGAUUUGUGUGUUUUUGACUAUGUUGAGAGUAUAGGUCUAAGUGUUUUCGAAGUGGAUAGAUUAACUGAGAGUGCUGGUCUAUAUGGUCAUAAGGUGUACUAUGGUUGGGAAAAUAACACCUUUAGGAGGAUAGAAAGCAGUAGGGAGUUGAAUGGUUAUGUUAAGGGGGAGGUUGGGCCAACUAAGGAAGUUAACUUAUAUCUUGAAGUAUCUUUUCAUGAAAUUCUAGUGCAACAACUUGGUUAUGAUCCGUAUGAGGUAGAUGAGACAGAAAAUGAACUCCAAAAUGGUGAUGGUAACAAUAAUAUUAGGGAUGAAGGGCAAGGAAGGUGUGCUGCUAAUAAUUGUGAUAAUGAUUCCAACGCAAGUGAUGAGACUUUUUUUUCAGCUAUUGAUUCAGAUUAUGAAAUAGGCGAUGAUGCUGAUGAUGGUAUAUUUCAUGAUAAUGUUGACAAAAAUGCUGAAUGGUUGGGAGUAGACAAUCACAGGAAAGAAAAUGUGGUUCCUGAUCCUUUGAAUGAAACAGAGAAGGUUCCUGAUUCUGAUGAAACAGAACAGGUUCCUGAUUCUGAAUCUGAUUUUGAAAGCAUUCAUGAGUCUGAUGAUGAAGAGUCUAAAUUGAGGUCUCGUACUUUUGAUCCUAAGCAUAUUGACAAUCCAAAAUUAGAGCUGUACAUGUCCUUUACAAGUCUGAAACUUUUCAAGACUGCUGUACAUAAUUAUAGUGUGAAACAAGGCAGGCCUUGUAAGUUUGUGAAACAAGAUAGAGUGAGGGUGAGGGCUAGAUGCAGAAAUAGUGAAUGUAAUUGGGUUAUAUAUGCUAGAAAAUUAAGUGGGGAUGGAACUAUUCAAAUAAGAACAUUUGAAGAUAAUCACACAUGUGGUUUUACAUAUGAUAACCCUCUUGUGCAUUCUGGAUGGGUAGCUAAGAAGUACUGUGAAGAGUUUAGGUGUAAUCCUAAAUUAGAUUUGGAGCAUUUUAGGAAGACAGUAAUGAAAGAAAAUAUGUGCUCCUUCACAAAAAAUCAAACAUAUAGGACAAGGAGAAAAGCAAUGAAAAUUGUUCAGGGCAGUGAAAAAGACCAGUACAGCAAAUUAGGAGUUUAUAUGCAUGAAAUUCUAAGAUCCAACCCUGGUAGUACUGUUAUAAUGAAAACUGUUGAUGGUUUUAGAGACUCAAAAACAGGGAAAGGCAGAUUUGAGAGGCUGUACAUCUGUUUUGCUGGAGUGAAGCAUGGUUUCCUAACUGGAUGUAGGCAGUUUAUUGGAGUAGAUGGUACUUUUUUGAAAGGAUCAGUAGGAGGAGUUUUGCUAGCAAUUGUUGGAGCUGAUGCCAAUAAUGGCAUUUUUCCAAUAGCAUAUGCUGCAGCAGAGGGUGAAAGUAAGGACUCAUGGUGCUGGUUCUUCAAACUAUUGAAAGAAGAUUUGAAGAUUGAAAAGGAUUAUGAGUGGACAAUAAUGAGUGACAAACAAAAAGGUCUAAUUGAAGCACGUGAUAUGAUUUUUCCAAAUGCAGCCCACAGAUUUUGUGUGAAACACUUGCACAAUAACUUUUCAUCUGCUGGGUUCAAAGGAGAAGGUUUGAGGAGAGCGUUAUGGACUGUUGUCAAAGCAACAACACCAGCCCAAUUCAAUAGCAGAAUGGAAGCAAUGGCUGAAAUUGAUAUAGAGGCAGCCAAGUGGUUUGAUGACAAACCACCAAGUCAAUGGAGCAGAGCUUAUUUUAGCACUCAUCCUAAAUGUGCUAUGUUAUUGAAUAACAUCUGUGAGUGCUUCAACAGUAAAAUUCUUGAUGCUAGGGAGAAGCCAAUAAUUGAGAUGUUUGAAGCAAUACGGUUGUACAUGAUGCAGAGAAUGCAAAAAAAUAGGGAUCUGGCCAAAGAGAAGUGGCAGAGAGCAACCAAGGAAUCUUCUUCCCGGAUUCUCGCCGCGCCAACAGGUGUUCAUUUUUGUUCUUAACCCACAGUUGCAGAAUGGAGUCGAUGAACCACUGGAGACUUCAGAACUUCUGCUCCUCAUUUAGGCAAAAAUGAGAGCACAGGGAGCUCCACUGCCAGAUGCUCUGAGGAUGAAAUGUUUAAAGCUGCAAAGAUUGGCAAAAAAAUUUUGGAGUUCAAAGGCAGAGGGAAAAAGGACAACAAUGGAGCUUUUCAUCCGUCCGUUGCAUUUGUUCCUUUAAAGUUAGCUCCAUUCGGUUUUACCCAUUUUUUGUUGGGUAAAACCGUUGGUUGUAACGGUCAAUUGGAUAUUUCCCGUCAAUUGUCCUUAAUUGGUCAAAAUUACGGAACUUUGAGGAUGAAAUGUGUUUGGAGUUAAACAUUGAGGAUGAAAUUGGUCAACCCCGCAAACUUUGAGGAUGAAAAGUGCAUUUUUCCCUUUCUUGGAAAGUCCUGCACCAUUCCCCUUUAGACCACAGUAAUCAUAAUCAUCAAAUUCUAUUCCUUCUAUGAAAAUAAAAAAGUCCAUAUCAUUCGAUCUAGUUUCCUCUCCGCGGUUAAGAGUAAAAUUAGCGAGUUUGGAUGUAUGGGAAAUAAUCUCCUUUGAAAUUGCAUGUGUUAUAUUAGCAAUUAAUUGAUUGCCCUUAUGAGUGUUUUGAGAAGGGAGAUAAUUAAAACUAAAAAGUUCCACAGCACGCAUACUAUUGAUUAGACAUUCAAAAUUGGAAAUUGCCCGAAUGGCGACAGAGUCAAGAAGGGAUAGAAAGAAAUCGACUAUCUUUCUUUUGCUGGGGCAGAUAAACCAAAGAAAAAAGGGGUUUUAUUUCAAUUCUAAAAGCUCAGCGAAGAGGAGUCUCCAGGUCUAUUGGUGACUUGGUGUAUUUGUAUCCAGUCAAAACAAUUCUUGACUGUAUGGACAUUAUCUUUGUGCCAUUAGUUAACUAGCUCAGUUAAAACUUAGAAGAACUUAUGGAAUUUUAGUGGCACCGACAAUUUUUUUCUUUUUUUUUUUGAGGGAAAAUGUAAGAUUCUGUAAGAUAAAUCCACAGCUAAAACAGGGAUCACAUCAUAUAUAGGGGAAAAUAUCUCAACAAACCGAGAUUGUUUGGAAAUUUUAUGUUAAAAAACACUAUAGCAUUUUUAAUAAUGGGAUAUAUGUGAAAUAAAAGUGUGGUUGAAAAAUGUGUUCAUGGAUAAAUAAUAUAUUUUUUAAUAAAAAAUUUUCCCAAAUCAUGCUAUUCAAACAGAGCAAGAUCAGCAAUAGAAAGGGCCAAAAGGAGGAGGAGCAUUGCCCUCACGCUUGAUACGCACAAGGACCGGAAGAGAACAAAUUCAAGAACGAUCAUUCUGACUUUAUGAACCAACUUUUCAAUCAUGGAAUGAUCCUUUGCCAAUACAAAGUUAGUUCAAUUGAUAAGUAUGGGUUAAUUUUUUUUUACAAAAAAUCAUAUAUUUAAAUUCUGUUAUAGAUUUAAGGAUUGUGUUGGUAAAAAAUUCUUGUAACAGACGUAUAUUUUUAGGAGCACGUCCUGACCAAAUCAAGAGAGUCUCCUUAAAUGGCAUUAGAUACAUGUACCCUCCUCGUAAGUAAGGUCCACAUAACGAACCAAUAAGAAAAUGCAUUUAAGAUGACCAACAAAUCAAAAAAUGUUAUAAAUGUAUAUAUGUGCAUUAAUUCCAUACAUACGUCUGAUAAUCGGCAAUACCCAGAAUGGAAUAGAGGUUUUUAAAGUAACUAGUAAUUCAUUAUAUUUAUCUAAAUCCAGUACUGAUGAUGCAUGAAUGAACAACAUCCGUGUCCCUUCUCCAACAACAGAGACAUGAUUCUACCAAGAACUUGUCUUGCCAAGUUAUAUAUUUUGCCAAACAAUAAAGGAAAAAGACUAAUUCUUGAACCCUUUAUGAAAUCUUCUUUGCAGUAUAAGUAAGUGUCCAAAUGAGAUUCUCUUUCAACGAUUUCGUCCACCAAUUCUUCUCCUUCUAAUACUGUCUGAGGCAGAAAGGCCAGCUUCAAUUAUAAUGGCAAAAACCACAGUGCAUUGUUAUGUGUGGUUGAUAGUGGCUACAGCUUUGAUUGUGAGGCCUUCCAAGGCAUUUGAUUGCAUUGGCGCCCAGCAAGAACUGAUUCCAUGCCUAAGUUACUUGCAAGCUGCUGAUCCCACACCCAGUAUUGAAUGUUGUUCUGGUGCUCAAGAUGUGGCCAAUUCGGCUAAUUCGUCUAAAGACGAUUUGCAAUCCGCUUGCCAAUGCUUGAAAUCUGCUGCGCAAACGUAUCCCGACAUAAAUUAUGAUAAUGCUAAGCAACUCCCCGCCCUCUGCAACGUCAACCUCAAUAUUACCAUUGAUCCUAACAUUGACUGCACCAAGUAAGUUUACUUCUUUCGCCCAGAAAUUGAAUUUCAAUUUCACUACUUUAUUUUUAUUUGUGUUUGACGUCCCUUUAAUAUUAUCUAUUAUAUGCAUGUCAUUCCUCUUCUUCUGUUUCUGGACUUUAAUUUCUUCAAAAGGAAAAAAAAAGAAAGAAGAAAGGGACUACGACUCUAUGUUAAGAGUAUGAUUGAUUGAUUUUUGCUACUAUUUCUUGGUCCUUAGAACCAUCUAGGUCAAGUUUAGCUGCUAUUUAACACUACUGAUUCCAAUUGAACGUGACUUUCAUGUUGUCUAUACAUGGCCGCACCAAAGAGCAAUAAUAUGAAAUUUCUUUAGUUUGAAUGCUGUUCUGAUCAAGGGCCAGGUCCUUUUGUUUGUUACCAAAAAAAAAAAAAAGAAAAAAGAAUGCUGUUCUGAUCAAGAAAUCUUACUUCUGUAUCUGCACAAGUUAAUUUUUCCGAAAGAUGUUCGAUCAUUCUUUACCUUUGAAUUUUGAUCACGUGCAGGCUCUAAGUGACAUCGGAGAUUCUUGAAGAGAAAAAUGCCAAAAUUUUCAGUUUUGGUGGAGAUAUCAGCAUGCAUGCAGUGUAGCCUCGUACAAAUUUGUAGUUUGAAUGUACCUCUCUUGAAUUUUUUUUUUUUUUAGUAUGGGAACUUCAGAUUCCAAUACUUGAAGAGAAGAAAGGCAAAUUAACUGUCUCCUUGUAUCCUUCUUUCUUGCAUGUUGCUACCCGUCUUUAUUAAUAUCUUGGCUUCUAUGAAAGAACAGAUGUUUCUUUUUCAUGUUUCGGAAUGGAGCUUCACCUAUGGAUUGAUAUUUCGGUCGCGUUCAUGUUUUACUUACUCAACAUAAAUAUUUGCUGUCAUUUGUUUCUGGAGAGAAUUGCAGUUUUCAUCAAUAAUAUUUGGUCUGUGGUGUGUCAGUCAGUUUUGAUCAAUAAUAUUUGGCCAAUACUCAAUACCAAAUUGCUAUUAGUCAACACUUUUGAAUUUACGCUUUUAGUCCCUAAUAUUUUGAUUUUGAAUCAUUAUAUCUCUUAAAUUUUAAAUAACGACAUUAAGGGUUUUAAAAUGAAAUGAGACGUGAAUUCAAAUAAAAUUAUAUUAAAUGGAUCAUAGAAAUUCUAAUUAAUUCUGUUCAAAAGGGUAUAGCAGUAUGGACCAUCAUUAAGUUAAAAAUUUGACUUCAAACAUUAUACUCGGUCAUUUCCAUAUUCAUUGAAGAAAUGAAAAGUUGGCUUCAAUCAAUGGCCGAGUCAAAAUUUUAGGUUGGGAGGAUGGGAGAUUUAUAUGCAUAGUAAAAUGUCAAUUCACGAACGUAAUUUUGGAAACUAAGACUUUUUUAUAUCUUAAUGAAUACAGAAAUGACAAUGGCCUGCACCGUUGCUUAUAUAAAAAAUUUAGUUUCCAUACGGUUUUGGUUUGCUUUGGCAUUUGUUGAAUCAAUUUAAUUUCAAGAAAUUCCUUACCUACCAUCUAACAAAGUGAUACUCGUAUCAUUUGUAACAGGGUGUUCUUUGUCCCACAAAUUUUCAAUUUCAGUAUUUGACAUCAAGGCCACAGUGGACAAGGUUGGCCUGUCUUCAGGGUGCAGCUGCACGCACAAGAGGCCUACUUGUAUUCUACAUCUGAUGCCGGAAAGAAUUCUUCCAUUAGAUCAUCUAUCAGUUGAUAGGCAGUCCUUUCAUUCCGGAGUUUCCACGCCUGAUAGUUUAUGCCGAUCGUGUAAUUGAGAACCAAUAUGCACCAUUUUAUUCGUAAAAUGUCCCAGUAUGUUAAGAUUGUGGUCAGGAUGGCAAAAAUCUGUAUACAAAUCAGGAACUUUGCGCUGCAUUUUGCAACUAAUCAAGCCAUGAAAUCUGUAUAUAAAUCAAUUAGAUAUUGAUUUAUCUGGUUCUCCUGAGGUAGUAGUGAGAAACUGAGAAUCGCAUCAUGGCUGUGAUUAGUCAUUACUUGUUAAUGUGGAAGCUCAAACAUUUCAGAAUUGAAUUGCUAUACAGAGCUGCUAUACAACUUUACUAGAUCCUUAUUGACAGGAUCAAAAUUUGUUGAACCAAUUUCAGUGCCAAAAAUUUUCUCUACCUACCCUCCGAUAGAGUUAUAGUCAUGUCAUUUGUAGCAGGGUGUUGUUGUUGUUGUUUGUCCAUUGAAUCUUCUGUUUCAUUUGCAGUCCUCUCCGAAUAGAAACCUGGCCGCUUAGGCUGGGGAAGUAGAGCAGUCUCACUAUUUAACAUGGACAGUGCAAUGGACAUGGUUGGCCUGUCCUCAGGGUGCUGCUGCCCGCACAGGAGGCCAACUUGUAUGCAUCUCUCCACCUCUGAUACCGAGAAAGAUUCUUCCAUUACCUCAUCUAUCAGUUGACAGGCAUUCCCUUCACUCCAGAGUUUCCAUGCCUGAGAUUGUAGACAAAAUUUGAUGGAGGAAACUUCAUGUGUAAAGCAUUUUAAGGAUGAAACACCAAAUCCUGUUUACUUACGUGACCAAGUAAGUUAUGGUUGUGCUCUGGAUGGUGAAAGUCUCUGUUCUUUCUGCCGCUCACAAUUUCAAGGACUAGCACUCCAAAGCUAAACACGUCGGAUUUUGUUGAAUAUAGCCCUUUUGUGACGUACUCAGGAGACAUGUAGCCACUGCAGAUCAUCGUAUGUCAGUUUCUAUGAGAGAAAAACAGUUACCUGCUGGGGAGAAAAAAUAUGAAAUCUGGAAAUAGUAAACUUUUAAGUCCCUUACUAAGUGCCAAUAACCCUUGUUGUUUUUUCCGGACUCUGAUCGCCUCCGAAAGCUCUAGCAAUGCCGAAAUCUGAAAUUUUAGGACUCAUCUCUCUGUCUAGGAGGAUAUUGCUAGCUUUUAAAUCCCUAUGGAUUAUUCUCAAUCUUGAAUCUCGAUGCAGGUAAAUGAGCCCUCUAGCAAUCCCAGUUAUAAUGUCAAAACGGCAUGUCCAUGUUAGCAACUUUCUUCUCGUGCUAUCUGCAAGAGCUUAUAAUCAAGUAAGAAAACCAAAUUUCUCAUGACAAGAUAGAAAUCAAUUGAACAAGAUUUUUGUUGAGUGGCACCGUAUAUGUAGAUGUCCAGGCUUUUACUGGGCAUAUACUCAUAAAUUAGCAUCCUCUCUUCUCCUUGAAUGCAGCAUCCCAAAAGUUUAACCAGGUUGCGAUGUUGAAGUUUGGAGAUCACGAUGACUUCAUUUUUAAAUUCAGCAAGUCCUUGAUUGGAAUCUAUCGAAAGCCUCUUUACUGCAAUCUCUUGUCCUGUUGGCAGCUGACCCUGGAAAUGCGCAAAUUUGCAGAAUACCAAUAUAACAGAAGAAAUUUGAAGUACAUAGUCUAAUUUGUAAGAUUGCACAUCAUAAAUGGAUUACUACUACUUGAAAAUACCUUAUAAACUGGUCCGAAACCACCUACUCCAAUCUUGUUUGAGUUAGAAAAGUUGUUGGUUGCCUUUGCAAUGGUCAUCAUCUCAAAAGUCGGUAAUGAUAGGUCUUCCAUUACUCCAGAAUGAAGCUGUGGUUUUAGCCCUGCACUCAGAACAUGUCUAACAUUAUAACCAAACUUGAACUCAAAUUUAUUUCCAAAGACGAAAAUAAAGUCUCAAAGAUGAUCUGUCCGCCUGGUCGCUUGAAGGUCUUAAAACUUUAAUUAUGAAGUCCCUAAUUGACCUGGUAGAGAAGUGUAGGAAUAAGAAAAAGCUAUACAAACUCCCUCCAUAAGAGUAAUCCAGGAGCCGUACACGAUCAAACUCCAAACAAACCCGAUUCAAAACGAAUCUUAUCGCAUAGUCAAGGAACAUGGCAGAGCCAACAAAUACAAAGUGUUUAAUUUUGUAAAUAUUGAUAGAAGUUUGCUAUAAACAUUGAUAAAAGUUUGAUAAUAACAAUCCUGCUCGAUUAUAGGCUACAACAAAAUUUGCAGAAGGCUCUGACUAUGGUCCGCAUAGCGAUCCGCUGCUGGCAGCCAGUGUCAGUUACGGAUCCACCUGCAGACCUUCAAUGUCAAGCUGGCCUAGAUUCUUUCUUUCUCCAUACCUUGCUAGCACAGUUAUGAUUACAACAAAAAUAAAUGUAAAUACUAACAAAAAUUAUAGAAACUACCUUAAUUAAAAUCCUAAAUGAAUUCUCGAGUAUAGAUGAGAGAUUCCUGAAUUAUCUCACUAGAACAAGAUUCAAGAUGCCUAGACUUAAAUGAGACAGAUGUAAAAAAUAUAGCUUUUCUUGAUAAAAGGAUGCAUUUUGUCUUCUGUUAUGUCCUCAUCCCAUCUUUUCUAACGUAAACCAUUUACUGCACCAUCAUUUCUCCGCGAGCAUAUUUCUAUGAUUGUCUCCCUCAAAUUACUUAGCACCCCAAAUGUCUGGCAUCAGCGGGAUGAGCAGAGUUAUAAUACGAAUCUAUUUCUACAUUAUUAGACCAGUUGGAGAAGUAGCAGGCAAUAGGAGGGCCUUACUGUUUUCUCGGCGUAUUCAAGAUAUGAGCUCUUGAUCAGAAGAUACAUGUUUUACUUAAGGCAGUUGUCAUCAGCAAAUAAUAAGUUGAGAACAAAAGAAAAAAGCAUCGACUGUUUCUCCUUUUUUCGGAUGAAAUAGUUAAUUGCUCAUUACUUUGCAUGAGUUCUGUGUCUUCUGCAGUAACAGUAAAACAAUGCGGCAAGUGUUUUCAUCAAUGUUAAGCAAGUAUUUGCUAACAAGCGAUAUUUUGUUAGAACACAUUCUUGAAAUGAAAAUCGAUCUCGAGUUUCUGAAUUUACCUCGUCUCCGUGAUCUCUUGAACAGGAUGAACCAAAAAGUCAAAACUAGCAAGGCCAGAACAACUGAACAAGGCACCACGACUAGAAUGGUCUUUUUUCUUUCGUUAGAGCCUGUUGUGAGCUUUAUAAAGUCAAUAACUGUCAAAAAAUAGAGGUGCAAGAAAAAAACAGAUUAUUAAGAAAUAAUGGAGUAAUAAAGAAUUUCAAGAUACCUAGAUCCGCAGCUUCUACACGAAUAUAAAUAUUUUGAUUGCUUGGGGUAGCUAAUCGCCUUAUAUCAAUCAAAUCCCCAUACCAGAAGAAGCAACCACUUCCCCUCCCUGAAACGUUUGAAUUGGCAUAUGCAGUACAAGUGCAAUUCUUCAAACACUCCUCUUCACAUUCCUUGAGAGUUGCACUGCUGUCCAUCCAAUCCAGCCAGUGAUCGGGAACCUUUACUCCCUUUACCUCCAUAAAACCUUCUCCCUUCGAACAAUUUAGAGGUUGUUUCCUAAGGCAUCCAUUGGACCGUAGGCCAAUUUCCCAAUCCUGAGGUGACUUAGGCACGUAGCCAGUCAAGCAGCUGCAGCGAAAAGGAUCAUUUAUGGUGCAAAUACUGUUGGUACCACAAUAGCCAUAAUUAUCACAAGAGUCAAUAGGAAUACUAUAGAUGACUAUCCAUUCUAGGCUGCUGCUGCUGUUCCAUAAAUAGCUAUAGAUUUCCCCAGAGUAGCUGACCACAAUCCUUGCGAGAAGUGGACUACUUUCAGGAACCUCAUAGUAAACCUCGUUUGUGUUGACAAAGAUUGUUGGGUUGAAGACUGCAGGUAUUGGCGGUGGUAUGGAAAUAACUCCACUAAAGCCAACACCAUUGAAAGGUCCAGUUCGAAACUGUAGAGAAUUACCUUUCCAGAGUUGAACCUCCAGGGGACGUCCAGUACCGCUGAUGCCAUAUGUAAAUUGCCCUGAGGAUGGAUCAUCCAUACUCUUCCAGGAUGUCAAUUUUCGAUUUAUGCCAGUCCUGGAAUCUCUCCCUAAUUUCAUCCCUGGAAGCCAAGUAUCAGUGAAAUUAUCAAAGCUUUGCCAGAUGUACCCUUCAUCAUUUUCUUUGUCAUCAUGUCUCAGAACAAGAUUCCCAGAGUCCAAGAGCUGCAAAACAGUCCCACUUGAGGAUAUCUCCUGAAUAUCAGUAGACCAAACUGUUUUUCCUGUACCGUCUCGAAGGAUCAAGUUUCCAUCUUUAACAAUGCUGACAGCCCCUAAUGAGUCAUUGAGAGAGCUAUUUCUGUUUGCCACCCACACAAUGGUCUGUGGGGUCAUUCCAUGGCACCAUAUUCCUAGGUAUCUCUUUCUUGAAUUUGGAGGACUGAAGAAGCCAAACUCAAAUCUAUUUCUAGCAGAUACCAAUGUCAGGCCAUCAGUUAUAGUCUCAGAUGCAGCUAAGAUAUCAGUUGCCCUGACAACAGAAAGUAUGAAUCCUACUGUGCAGUAGAAAACCGGAAAUAUGACAAUGAUCUUCAUAUGAAGAUCAGAAUGCAUGAAUGGCCGUUGAAUACGCGAGCUGAUGGAGUGGGAAGUAAGUCUAAAACCAAUUUAGUCAACAUUACUUAAGUAUUUUUUAGAACUAGAAUGUUGAGUAGAGCAGUUGUUUUACUUUGAAGGUUGAAGUCCAGAUACGCCAUCAAACUGUGAAUAUCAGUCAAAGGUGUUGGGCACGUUGAUCAUGUAGGUCAACACAAGUCAUUAUUGAGAAAAGUCUCAAGUUUGUUAGUCCAACCUUCCUAGUGGUGACUGGUGAGCUUUGACAAACAAGCAUGUGGAAAAAAACCGAAAGCUUCUCUCUGGAAGCUCACUAUCAAUGGUGAAAUUUGCAAAUGUCUUCUAAAGCAGCAAUCACACUGGAUUUUUCCCAUGAAUCCAGCCAGGUGAAUAAACAAUUACUUGUGGUUCGGCCCAAGUUGAUCUCCUUUAAGCUGCUUCGAGCUUAAUGUACGAGGACCAUAAUAAUUAUGUGGACUAAACUGUAUAGUAACAUUGCAUAAGAAAAGUUAAAAAUUGUCGGGGAGUUGGUUCAUGGUCCAAAACUACAUGGGUAUUAAUAAUCCAAUGGGCCUAAGUUAAGUUCCGAGCUCGUUUAAGCUGCUUCGAGGCCUGCAAGAAUUAUGUAUAGUACCAUUGCGUUCUCUAUGUUGGAGGCCUCAUGUUCACUUCUUGCCGUCUAGAUCCAUAAUGCCACUUAACUUCUAACUGGGUAUUAAUGGUCCAAUGGGCCUAAGUUGACCUCUGACCUCGUCUAGAACCAUAACAUUACUUAGCUUCUAGUUGGGUUUUAAUAACCCAACGGACAAAAGUUUAGUUGGGUAUUAAUAGUGCAAUGGCCCUAAGUUGAGCUCUGAGCUAAAGAUAUGAGGACCACGCCUGCAAUAAUUACAGAGUAACAUUGUAUAAGAAACCAAUGCUUAAUGUAGGAGGACCAUGCCUGCAAUAAUUAUGUAUACUAAUUGUCGGGGACUUGGUUCAUGGUCCACAUUCACUCAUUGCCGUCUAGAACCAUAUUGUCACUUAGCCGGUCGUUGGGUUAUUCAAUGAUCCAAUGGGCCUAAGAUUACAUAUCAAUCUAUUACUGUUCUCCCCGCUAAUGUAGGACUCUUGAUUGGAGAUCUUACAUAUAACCGCCGCACGACAUUGCGCACUUGUUAAGGAUACAUUUCAUACGAUUUUUUUAGUAAUUUAGGGUGCAUUUGAUAAAAUUAAAAUUUAAAAAUUAAAAUUUGAAGUCUAAAUUUAUUAAAUUAUUAAAUUGUUAAGUAUUAAAUCCAAUAUAUUUGUGUCAUUAAUUUUGGAAGCAAGUUUUGCCUAGAAAAUUCAGUAUCACUUAAUUAAUUCGGAUGUUCAAUUUUUUAUUAUUAAACGGUCUGAAGAUCUGAAUUUAUUAAAUUUAAGUAUUGAAUUGAAUUAUCAAACAGUAUUGUUAUUAACUAACAACUAACCAUGUUCCAGGCAGACAGCUCGUCUCCUCGCAAAUCGGAGAUCUUGGGAUUCAUUCAUCUCGCUAUCCAAUAACACAUUGCUAGCUUUAAGAUCCCGGUGAAUAAUUCUAAGUCGAGAAUGUUGAACAAGAUGAUGAGGAGUCGCUGGCUGACAGCUAUCAAAAGUCAAAAAAGAGAAGAAGGUCCUAAACUGUAUGAUAUUGAAAGUCAGCUAAGCAUCUAUCGAAGUCAACGCUCUAAUAGCGCAUCAUUUAGAAAACUGCAGGGCUGCUCAUGCAGAUUGGCAGUAAAAAAGCUGUACUACCUAUUCUAAUUAACUAUUGUAUGGAUUACAUCAUUAUUUGUUAGUCUGCAGAUCUGACUUCUUACGACAAUAUAGACUCUGAACCAAGAUUCAUGCACUUGUAGUAAUGACUAUAUAAAGAAACUCAAGAAGAUGGGAAUGGAAUCUACUACGAUACUUUCCCUGAAUUAUCCAUCAAUUAACUCCAUAACCAAGCCGAGUUAUCCACAAAAUCCCAUUUCAGUGCAUUUGACUCAUGAAACUGGAUGUUUGCAUGAUUCUUACGGACAUUGUAACUGGACUAAAUGGACAACCCAAAGUAUCCCCCGUCCCAUACACGAGGGUGGCUAAAUAACAAAACAGAAAAUUUUGUGGAUGAUAUUUGUUCUACCUUUUGCAAAUGAAAGAAAAUGGCAUCCUCAACUUUUCGAAUGGCGAGUAGAGUUUCACUGGAAUGAUUAAUCGUCCGGGCCGUCCUGUACUUUCAUUACCGUCUUCGUGUUACCAUUUGUCAUUUUGACUAAAUUACAUUCCAAUAAUUUCACUUUGACGUUCAUUACAUGAAACACAAUACAGAGGAAAGUGUCAAAAAGAUUUCUUCUCUAGUGAGGUACUGUACACCCAAUCUCGUCAAGAGGCAUGCAUCUAUAUGUCUUGCCUUGGUCCUUUCCAUCUUAAGCAAGGAGGGAUGUGAGUUGCCAUUUCUGACUCUUCCGUGAACUAUAGCAAUCCCUUGUUUAAUAGAUCAAACAUGACCUCUGGGAGUCCAGAGAAUGAAUAAGUCUUCAGGUGGAUAGAUUUAUUUCUGCCAGCCUAAGAGACUGGGUACAUGAAUAAUUCUAUAUUAAGGAUAAAGAACUCAAACGGUUAAAAUGUAAAGCCUAAUCAGGUGCACUCAACAACUUGAUGACUUAGUAUUCUGUGAUUGAAAGUCGAAAGUAAAGUUAAAAAGAGCAUAAAGGCAUUUUUACUUGCAAUUUCCAUCAGGAAAAGAUGCUUUCUGAAGGAGAUUUUGUGUAAUUUGAUUAUAGACAAAAGUACUGUUUUUAUCGACCCUCAACUACAGUGAUAGUUACAUCAUUUGUGGUAGGGCAUUCUUCACCUAGCAAAUCUAGUCUCUCAUCUCCACACCUUUCCAUAUAGAAACCAGGCGUCUUAGGUUGGGGAAGGAUGGUACUUUCACCAUCCAACAUCAAUAGUACAUCGGACAUGGUAGGUCUAUCUUCAGGGCGUCGCUGAACACACAAGAGGCCAACUUGAAUGCAUUUUUCUACCUCAGACAUGGGAAAUGAUUCUUCCAUUAGCUCAUCUAUUAGUUGAGAGGCAUUCCCAUCAUGCCAGAGUUUCCAUGCCUGGAAUUAUUUGAUAAUAGUUAAUCAUAAAAUUUUUUGCACAAUUUUCUGCAGAUGAGAACUGCAAUGGAUGAACUUACAUGUCCGAGUAGGUUAAGGUUGUGGUCUGGAUGGCAAAAACCUCUGUUCUUUCUGCCACUGAUAAUUUCCAGGAUCAAUACUCCAAAGCUGAAGACAUCUGAUUUCAUUGAGUAUAGUCCAUUUACAACGUAUUCGGGAGACAUGUAGCCACUGCACGCCGACAUUGAAGUUGUGAAAUCAAGCAAUGCUACUUCCUGAAAUAAGAAAUGACAAUAAAAGCAGGGAGCGAAGUAACUUUCUUACUAGGUGCCAACAACCCUUCCUGUUCUUUCGCAACUCUGAUCUCCUCCAAAAGUUCUAGCAAUGCCAAAAUCUGAAAUUUUAGGAUUCAUCCCUCUGUCGAGAAGAAUAUUGCUAGCUUUCAGAUCCCUAUGAACUAUUCUCAAUCUUGAAUCUCGAUGAAGAUAGAGAAGCCCUCGAGCAAUUCCAAUAAUAAUGUCAAAGAGCCUCGUCCACGUUAGUGAAUGCCUUCUUGUACUAUCUGUUAAGAGCAUCUAAUUAAACAUAUGUGUGUGUUUUUCUGACCUAUAGCAGUCACUCCAGUCAUUCUUAAUACUUUUUCCCUAGGAUUUGCUCUUUUACUGUUGUCUUGCAAAUUGUUAAAAAAAAAAAAAAAAGGGGAGGGUUAAGAUUGCGAACCAUAAAUAUAGUAAUCCAAGCUUUUGUUAUGCAUGUAUUCAUAAAUCAGCAUCCUCUCUUCUCCUUGAAUGCAGCAUCCCAAAAGUUUAACCAGAUUCCGAUGUUGAAGCUUAGAAAUCAAUUUAACUUCAUUUUUGAACUCAAUCAGUCCUUGAUUGGAAUCUACAGAGAGCCUCUUCACUGCAAUUUCUUGACCAGUUGGAAUCUGACCCUAUAAAAUGUCAAGUGAGUCCAGAUAGUUUGCCAGGAACUUGAAGUUUCUACACAAAAUGAAUGCUUAUAGUCCUGCACUUCAUGAUACCUUAAAAACAGGGCCAAAACCACCCUCUCCGAGCUUGUUAGACUCUGAAAAGUUAUUAGUUGCUUUUGCAACACUCAUUAUCUCAAAAGUUGGCAAUUCCAGGUCUUCCAUGUCUUUAGACCAGCGCUGCAGUUUUACCUUUCCAGCUGCAAUUGGUGCAACAUUAGAAAAGAAACUAGCAACUGAAAUAGUUAACCGAUAGAUGUAUUCUUUACUAUAAAGUUUGCAUCCUUUGGCCUGGUCUUUGUGGAAGUCUCUAUCUUUCAGAUCCCAUGCCUUAAUACAGGAUCUCAUAAAUUUAAUCGAAUUGAGAAAAAUACUAAAAAUGAAAUAUUAAUACAGAAAAUGUACAAUAAGAUGUCAUAAUAAUGUUGCUUUACUUGUUUAAUCUCAGUCAGUGUUGUAAACAAUGUACUUGAUAAUCCAGAAUCGAUCCUUUAUGUUUUAGCAUGUGUGCAUGUCAGAUGACGAAAAAUACCAUUACAAUAAAAAUCCCAUAUACUUUUUCUUUCUCUUCCACCCCCCCCCCCCCCGCCUUCCCCAAUCCCAAAAAGACACACAUGACACAACCCUUGGAAGAACAAAGUCUGAUUGAUGUGCUUCUGACAAUCGUAUCUAUCUGUAUUCCGGUUAAGUCAUAUGUGCAGUCAGAGAAGGAAGCAGUAGUGGGAUGGCUACGUCCCUGCUUUGAUGUUGUUUAGCAAGGAAAGCUUUGAUCAGAAAAGAAACACAUUCAGGAAUUCAACGAGAAGAUGACUGCAGAAACGCCAAAUAGAAAAUGAAAGGUAAUACAUGACUUCAGUUUUAAUAUGUGGUACAUGUUCUCAGAUCUCUACAUGGCAACAGCUAAAAUUGCUGGUUAUGGUCACUAUUGAUGAGGAAGCAAUUAGUUUUGCAGCUAACAAGAUUUCUGUCAGUGCAAUAAAAAGUGAGUUUACCUUGUAUAUGUGCUCUCUUAAGUAGGAUGAUACAGCAAACUGAAAACAUCACUGUCAAAGAUAAUGAGGAAGUUAACACAACCAAGAUGACCUUGUUUCUUUUCUUUGGGCCUGUUAUCAAAUCCAUGUACUCAAUUAAAGUUCAGAAACAAAUAUUCAAAAGGCAAAGACUGGUUGACUGCAACUGAUAAAGUAGUUCAAGCAAUUAAAGUACCUAGAUCAGAAGCUGCAACACGAAUAUAGAGGUUUUGAGCACUUGGUCUUACUAGUUGCCUUACGUCAAUCAAAUCCCCAUGCCAUAUUAGGCAGCCAAUUCCCUGCCCUGAAACGUUUGAAUUAGCAUAUGCCGUGCAAGAACAAUUCUUCAAGCACUCUGCUUGACAUUCCUUCAGGGACAUACCGGUGUUAAUCCAAAUCAACCAAUGAUCUGGAACUUUAACGCCUUUUAGUUCCAAGAAACCUUCUCCUUUUGAACAAUUUAGUGGAUGUUUCCUAACACAUCCACCAGUCCAAUCAUGGAUUUCCCAACCCUGUUGUGAUUUAGGUAUGAAUCCAGUCAAGCAACUGCAAAUAGUUGGGUCACUUAUCGUGCAAAUACUGUUGGCACCACAAUGGCCAUAAUUAUCACAAGGGUCAUUGGGAAGAUUACCUACAAGUAGCCAUUUUAGACUGGUAGCAUUCCAGACAUAACGCUGCAUUAUGCCGGAGUAGUUUAAAACAGACCUUGUUGUAACAAGUUUGGUCUCAGGAACGUACUCGUAGUAUGUCUCUUCUGCAUUCACCACAAGCUUCAGGUCGAAGACAUUGUUUGGUUCAAAAUUGAGUCCGCUGAAACCAACUCCAUUCCAUGGUCCGCUUCUAUACUGUAGAGAAUCUUCUUCCCAAAGUACAAAUUCCAAGGGCGGUCCACGGGGAUUAACACUACAACUGUAUUGCCCUGGGGCAGGGUCAUCUGCACUUGUCCAUGAUGUCAUACGUCGAAACAGGCCACUGCUGGGAUCCUUCCCUAGCUCCAUUCCUGUUAACCAUGUAUUUGAAAAAUGAUCAAAGCUUUGCCAAAUAUAGUCUCCUGCAUUUCCACCUUUGUCAUUUCUCAGGACAAGAUUCCAGAAUCCAAUAGCUGCAAAAAGGUCCCAUUUGAGGAUAUGUUCUCCGCACCUGUAGACCAAACAAUCCUCUCUGUCUGGUCUUGGAGGAUGAAAUUUCCAUCUUUUGCAAUGCUUACAACUCCUGAUGAGUCAUUAAGCGGAUUAUUCCCAUUUGCAACCCAAACAAUGGUUUGUGGACUCAUCUGAAAGUACCAUAUUCCCAAGUAUCUAUUUCUGGAGCUUCCGGGACUAAAGAAGCCAAACUCAAAUACAUUUCUCGCAGAUACCAAAGUCAUGCCAUCGGUGAUUGCCCCUGGUGGAGUCAGCAUGUCAAUUGCCUGGGAGAUUUCAAUCAGGCAAAUUAUCAGGAAUAUACUGUAACAAAAACCCACAAAAGCAGCAGCACGACUGCCCCUGGAAAUGGUUGAUCGAGACAUAUCACAUUCAUAGCUGUCGAUAUGAAUCUGUCGGGCCAUGAUUUUGGCUAGAUGUUCAAAACUUGGAGUGACAGAGAUGAUCUUGUCUCUGAUUCUUCAGUUCAUCCUUUUCUCUAGAAGGGGUGGCAAAGAAGAAACUAUCACGGGAACGGCAAGUGCAAGACUGCAAAUUGUCCCCGGGUAAGAAACUGAACUCAAGUUCUAAGGCGUAUAACUAACUUCAUAACUGGUUUGUAUCCGAUUCUCGUUUCAUAUGUUUUGCAAUCACUUGGCAGGAGUUUCAGUGAAAUAUAAAGCUGGAAGACGAGCCUGACAGGAUUUUAGUGCUUCAUUGGAGCACUAAAUUCAACUCAGUUUGUCUGGCAUUCUUCAUUUGAACUCAACGUGACAAAGUCGCAGUUUUAGAAAGCAUCCAACUCACACUUCGACACGGAAUUUUCUGCCUAUGGAGAUUUUGAGAGUCAGCUUUGAAUGCAAUAGUUGUAUGUCUUUUGCGUGUUCAAUAUAUACAUAAUACAGUACAUUUGGUUACACCCUUGCGGAAAUUUUCUUUCUAAAUUUUAAAUGACUCUAUUGUAUUGAAUCAAUUGAUGUUAGAGCUAAAUGUUGAACAAAUCAAUGAGGGUCCUUCAGAAUUCUGUCCAGAGCGGUACUCUAAUUAAUCAAACCUGAAUGGUUUUUAAUGUUAAUUAAAUAUAUAGACAAGUUAAGCUCGAUGGAUAUAAAAUUCCAAAUUCGUAUAUAAAAGUAAAUUGAUUCAAGUGUAUAAAAAACAUUCAAAUGGUAGUCAAUUAAAACGUUCAUGAAUUGUAUUUUUUUUUUUUUUUGAUCCGGCAAUGUACCAAUCACAGUGGGGAGAGGAUAAUUUGUGCUUUUCCAGACAAUGCUUUCUAGUCUCAAUAGAAAGGAUCGAACAAAAAUUAAUUCCAUUUUUAAGCUGCUGGCUUGGCCCUUUGGUAAAGAUUUUCAACUGUUUCGUUGACUUUUUGUGCACCAAUUUUCAAGACUUGCACCAUUUCUUAUGUUUUUAUCUAUGUUUUCAGAACCGGACCGGAUAUCGACUCGGUCGAGCUCAGGGGUCAAUGGGUUCAACCGGGUUCGAUAGGGGUUGAACCAGAUGACGUCAUAAAUAAAAUUUAUUUAAAAAUUAAAAUAUUAUAUGUAAAAUACUUAAUAACAUGUUAAUAUUAAUAAAGGUAUAUUCAUAUAUAUUUGAUGUUUCAAAUAUAUUUAAUAAGAAAAUACAAAUAAAUUAGAGCAAUCAAGUAACAAUUUAUAUUAUUGAAUAAGCAUUAACAAGUUUAGAAUUAAAAUUAUGGACUUAAUUGAAAAAUAACACCAAACUUUAAGACAACAUUUAUAAAGUAUGAAAUAUUUGAGAUAUGUUAAUAAUUUUUAACAACUUAAGGAUCAAAACAUCAUAUUAAAAAUAUUCUGCCAUUUCAAAAAAAGUAAAAAAAGAAAAAAAGAAAAAAAGAGACCGGGUUCAUUUUUCAGGUCAAACCGGGUCAAAACCCGGGUUUUGACCUGGUUUGACCGAAUUGUUGAUUUCCCGGUUUUUAAGAUUAACUCGGACCGGUCAACUGGCCAGUUCCCGGUUCGACCGGUCGAACCGAACCGGCCGGUCCGAUCCGAGUUUGAAAACAGAGGUUUUUAUCAAUUUCACAAAAGAAACAUUUAUAAGUUGUGAGCAAACAGUGUCCAUAGAUAUUGCUCUUCACGUCACGGCUUGCACUUUGCCAAUCUUGCAAGGUAAUUUCAAUCUAGAGUCCAGAAGUUUAAUUUAACUUUAUCAUGCGAUAGGUCUUCUUAGAUUAAACAAGGGACAUGUAACUAUGGUCAAAGUCUCGAAUGCAGUUCCAUUUGGAUUGUUAUUUUUAGGAGUUUUUAUAGAAAAAUAUAUUAUAACGAUUUGAUGUAUAUAAGAUAAUUGAUAGGUUACAAUUUUAUCAUCUAUUUUAUUAUUAAUUUCCCUUAUUAUCCGAUCUGAUGUGAAUUAAUUGUUAAAUUCUACUCACUUUUGAAGAAUUGACAUUUAUUACAAGGAAUAGAACGUAAAUACCAUAACAAGUGCCAAUUUGAUAAUCAUCAAGAAGGAGUGUAGGGAUAUUUUUAAAAUAUUAAGACGCGAUCCUUUUUUAUAAUUUGCGAAAGACAGCAUAAAAGAAGAAAAAAGAACGAAGGGCUGGAGUUUUCUUCCUCUCGGGAGGGGGGCGGGAGGCCGCCGCACAGUAGAGAGGAGGCACUACUUUGGAGUUACUAUGUUUGACUUUUCGUUCUUAGUUUUCGUUGUGAUAAUUCUCCCUCGGAUGUGAGGAGAAAUUAGGAGCUUUUGUUGACUUUUCCUUUGUGAGUUUUUGGAGUAGUUCCCAAUUCACGCAUGUCAGGAGUUUUAGAACUUUGACUUUGCCCUUUUCGUCUCUUAGUAGCUUUGUAUGCCCGCAUGGCAGGAACAAUGGGAAGAUUCAACCAUUCUAUGCAGGUUUCGUUUCCUCUGAUUAUUUGAACGAAUUGAACUCUCGGAAAUCAGAGACAAUGGCCGCGACUCUUGCCCCAGUUUUGUAUGGUUUCUUCUCAUUAAGUAUGAACUAAUUUCUGCACUCUAAUCAGGGAACAACGGAUACUUUGAAUCGCCUAAAAUUGUGAGAUCGAUUUAAUUUUAUUUUUUCUUUUUAUUUAUUGGUAUUCGUAUAUUUCUCGAUUGUAGUGUUUACGAUUAUUUGAUUAAUUGAUUGUCUUGGAUCCGGAUAAUUAGUUAACUUGAUAAUUUACUGUCAAUUAAGGCAUUAAAUCCGUAAUUGUUUAAUUGCCUUGAAUUAAUGACAACUGGCAUGAUUAGGUUUGUGUCAGGAGGGAUACGCGGGCUAAUCUAAAAUAACCCUGGUAGUGCGUUAUUUGGUUAGAAUAUGGCUCCUCUAAUACGUAAGGCAAUUGCGGAAUUAAAUCUUACGGGCGUACCUAGGAUUAUUUCUCAAUUAGAGUAGUGGUUAACGGGCGUACCUUAAUCACCGACAUAGUAAGGAGGGGUUGACUGUCAUCGCUUGUUUGGCAGUUAUAACCUAUUUAUUAGUAAAUAAUUGGAUUUGGUUUUGCUUCGAUGAUCAAUUAGGUGCACCAUUGCUGAAGUUAUUUCUUGGCUAGAGCCUUAGUUAUCAUUCAUUUGAUUUUAGUAACUUGUUAUUUAAUUUUUAAUAGUUUCUUAGAUUUUAUUUGAAUUUCUUUGAUUGUCAUCUUCUGCACAAAAACACCCCCUUUGUUACUGUGGAUUUGAAAAGAAACAAUUACUCUCAGUCCCUGUGGAUUCGACCCUGCUUACCACUAUUUACAAAAACUAACUUUAAUUGAGCAGGUUUUUAUUAUUGCACAGGCUGACAACCUGUCAAUAAUAGAAAUGUGUUUACGAAAAUCAUAAAAAAUUUUCUGCGUAAAAUCAUAUUCCAAACAUAGAAACUAUGAUGCUGUCUAAGUAAAGAAACGUGGGGGAUAUAACCGUCAUGUGGUAUGUGUAAUAUUAUAUUUAUAGGUUUGUUUGGAUUGCGAUUUAUUUGCCAAAAUAUAUUUGCUUACAUUAUCAUUACAAUUUUCAACACACCUUUUUAUCUCACAUACAUCACAUCACAAAAAGUGCUACAGUAAAAAUAUCUCUAAUAAUUCACAAUCCAAACAAACCCAUUGAGUAAACUCUUUCUUGUUUGGGCAGCUUUUUGCAGCAAAAAAAAAAAACCUUCCAAUUUCUUGUUUUCCUAGCUGAAUUUUGGAAGUCAUUGACAAUAAUUUCCAAGGUCGAAAUUACCUACUAAAUGGGUCUCCACCUUGGUUCGAUAGAAAAAUUGGAUGCAAAAUAUCAAGCUUCAUAAGUUUUGCCUUGGUUAUACCCACUGCGAGACAGGAAUUUAACUUGAAUAUUAGGUAUUAACCAAUUCGAUCUUCCUCGCUAAAACGAAAUGAAAUAUAUUAAUCAACAUUAAAACGUUGAAGAAUACAGCAUAAAGGAUCUCAAGUUAAAUAAUACACGAAGAAAUGCAACUCUUGAAAUUUAGGUAAAUGAUACUAAAAUAACGACACAACAAGACAUCGUGCUUUAAUUAACAGUAGAACUGGAGAUGUGAGCAUCUCGUCAAAGUAGGUGAAUUCUCUUCAUACGAUCCUACUUGCAAGUAUCUCAGUUAAAAAUUAACAGAGAGCUGAAUUCCAAACCUUGCCAAAUGGGGUAGAGCCUUCAUUCUUCUACCCCUUUCUUCUCUUAUUUUCUCUGACAACACCAAAGUCAAAUAAAAGAAAAUGCUUUUCAAGAAAUCUUCCCCCACUUUAUCCCUUGUCAUCCUAGUUUAUGAUUCCUGCAUAUUUACUUAUCAUGAAAUUGAAUUCUGGUAUCGGCCAAAGCUCAAACCAAAGUCCAAACAAAAUUUACAUUUGAACUGAUUAAUAUGGAAGAGAAAUUAACGUUCUGCAACAUAUACUAUACACUUAGGAAUGUACGCAAAUGAUUGCAUUUACACACCCUUUAAAUUCUUUUAAAGAAAUAUAUACAUGCUAUGAACCAGAACUUAUCGACCAUGUAACAGUGUUACUGUUACAUCAGUAGAAUUAUGCGGCAUUUUCCCACUUGAUGUAGAAUCUGUGUCAAUAACAGUUCUCUCAAUGUAAAAACCAGGUUGUUUAGGUUGCGGAAGAGUUGGAUUCUCACUGUCCAAAAGUAAUAGAACAGUUGACAUGGCAGGUCUGUCAUCAGGCCGCUGUUGAACGCACAAGAGGCCAACAUGGAUACACCUCAACACCUCAGAUGUAGAAGCCGCCCCCUCCAUAAAUGGGUCAACUAGUUUCGAAGUAUUUCCUUCAUUCCAUAGUCUCCAAGCCUAAAUUCAGAGCCACCCUCAGGUCAGUUGUAUUAUUCUCUACAAGAUGUUUGUCAAGAAAGUAUUGCAGUUAAUUUUGGACUCACAUGUCCCAAAAGGUUGAGGUCAUGAUCAGGAUGGCAAAAUCCUCUGUUCUUUUCACCACUAACUAUCUCCAAAACCAGGACACCAAAGCUGAACACAUCAGAUUUAACUGAAAACAGGCCAUCUACUGCAUACUCAGGAGCCAUAUAGCCACUACAUGGAAACAUGGAAGAAUAUUCAUCAUUUGCAAAUUAGCUACUGAUGUCUGUGAAAAAGAGGCAGGGAUAAGAAAAUGUGCUUACUAUGUUCCCAUGACUCUCUUGGUGUUAUCCUGGUAAUGUUCACAACCAAAUGUUCGUGCCAGGCCAAAGUCAGAGAUUUUAGGAUUAAUUUCACUGUCGAGAAGAAUGUUGCUUGCUUUCAAAUCCCUAUGAAUUAUUCUCAACCUGGAAUCUCGAUGAAGGUAUAGAAGUCCCCGAGCAAUUCCAACAAUUAUGUCAAAGCGUUUUCUCCAAUCAAGUACUUUUCCUCUUCCUUGAUCUAUGAUGUAUUCAACUUAUGUUAGCCUCUUUCAUUUAAACAAAAUGAGCAUCAGAAACUAUAGGAAACUUACUGAAGAUGAAUAAGUCCAGACUCCUGUUGGGCAUAUAUUCAUAUACUAACAUUCUCUCAUCCCCAUGAAUGCAGCACCCUAGCAGCCUGACAAGGUUUCGAUGCUGCAGCUUUGCAAUUAAGAUCACUUCAUUUUUAAACUCUUCAAUACCUUGUCCAGAAUCUUUUGAGUCUUUCUUGACUGCUAUUUGUUGCCCUGUUGAGAGGAUACCCUGCAAAGCAACUUAUAUUUGAGUUAGAAUAAGCAAAAUGUCCUACAAGAAAUGUUAAAGGAAGUCAAUGGAUAUGUGACAGACACUACCUGGUAAACAGGACCAAAUCCACCUUCUCCAAUCUUAUUUGCGAAUGAAAAUUGAUUAGUAGCAUUUGAAAUGGUGAUCAAAUCAAAUAAGGGUAACUCUAUCUCGUCAUCUGCAAUUCUUUUGGUAUUCUCCUGGCUUGCAGUCUCUUGUUCUUUAGCUGACAAUUUAGGUAAAAAUCGCAUUAGACAUCAAUGGGAAAGGGAACCAUCCAGCAUCUAACCCCUUAUCCUGAAGAAUCAAGUUAUAUCCCUACUACUACGAUUUGCUCUUGCCGGGUCGAUCAAAUUGCAGAAGUUGAGAUCAUAUGUUUUACAUUCUAUCAUACAACAAACAAUCUAUCUAAUAAUGACUGCUUAACAGUAAUUGACCUCCUAAAUACUAAAUAACUUGAAAGCAGUUAUUCCUCCAGCUGAAGAACACCUGCGCUACAGUUAGAUUGCUAUGCAUGGUGGUUUCAAGUCCCCCUCUUUUCCGCUAGAGUUCCAAAUUUUUAAGAAAACUAGUUGGCAUGUAUGACAAACUCCCACCACAUCGGAUUGGAUUCUUUAUUUUUUUUUCUCCUUAUCUUUUUAAUUCUCGUCGGAGGAAAAAAGAAAAAAAGAAAAACCCUGAGGUCCAAAUUUUAGUCAAGGCAAUAAUCUCAAGAACAUCCAAUGUGAACCAAAUCAACUAGGCGAUGUGGCUUCAUCAUAUCUAAAGAUGAGAUGAAUCUGCAUCGCUUGCCGUUUCAAAUUGCAUAUCAUCAAAAUUAGAAUAUGUAUUGACUAAUGCUUAUGAAAUUGCACAAGAAAAUGACUUUAAUAUGCCAUACUCCAAUUAGUGCCGCGUAAAAUAUUAAGGAUGCUGAAAAAGUAAAUUUGGUUGAACAAAAUCCUAACAGUUUGAGCUGAAAUUAUCCACAAGUGGGUUCCUAAAAAUAUUCUUCUAUAUUCCAUUGGCAUUGAAAAACUGGACGUGACUUUUGGAAUAGGCCCAUUGGCCAUAAGACUAUUGCAGAACAAGUGGAAAAAGGUGUAAUCUGUUUGCGUCCGAAUAUGAAGAAAACUUGCCAGAUGACAAGGAUGGUAAAACAUAUUUGUCAACUGAGGCAUUUCGUCAAACAUUUAUAAUGCAAUAAUAGCAAAGCUAGGGUUUACCUUGACCACCCUUUGCGGUCCAUUUACGUAAUAGACACCAACACAAGAGUCCCUAAAGCCACCGACACCGAUAUUAUCAAAAUAUCCCUUUUGCUGUCAGACCCUUCCACAAUCCAUCAAGAAUGACAGCGAAAUACAUUAGUAUCACUUUUAUUCAUAGAGCCCACAAAGAAGGAAAAAAAAAGAAAAAGGGACGACUUGUAAGACUUUGCAGUUUGCAGUUUGCGUCCUUAAAGUUUUGUCAAGGUUCAGUUUGUGCACCAAACUUUUAUUUCCAAUAGUUUGUAUCUUUGAUUUGAGGUAUAAUUUCUGUUCCAAUAGUCAAUACUCAAUAUUUAACUGGACAAAUGGUCAUACUUGUUCCCUAUGGUGUUGUUAUUAACUUGUUAGAUACAUGAAUGGAUUUUUUCCAUUUUCACUAGAACUAUUAAUUUCUGUAAUAGGUUUAAUUUCACUAGUAAGUUUGUAUUCUUUUGAUAUUUUUAAAGUGCGAAGUGUGCAAAUUUUGAAAUGAAAAAUUUCUUAUCAUUUUAAAGUGAAAUUAUGCAUUUUGCAAUUUUAAAUGUGAGGGGCUACAACCAACAGUUACAAAUAUGAGGAAUAAUUCGUGCAACUUCUUCUUUUUCUAUAGACAACUGAAAAAUGUUUCUCGCUUGUGAAGAUUAAGAUAUGCAUAUCAAACUCUUCUAGACAUUGGAAAAAUUAAUAUUUUACUAUUAUAAAACAACAAUAGUCCAACUACUAUGACUAAAAAAUUUUAGUAAUUUUUUUGUCACUGCGUAGUAAAUGGAAUAAGUUCCUCAUAGAUAGUAGGUGAACCACUUGGGGAGAAUCAUUGAAAGAAUAAACCAUUAGCAGUGUUCAUGCACAAAAAAAAAAAAAAAAAAAAAAAGGUUUUGUGAUGCCAAUAAUAUAGCAAUAGUUGCAUAUCUUUUGUUACCUGAGUGCUAAUGUAUCAAUGAUAUAUAAUAGAAGCUGAAGCUUGGCUGCUAUAGCAAUAUUAUCAUGUUGAGGGCCAAGUUGUAUACCAAGUAGUGAAUCACAAAAUUGCAAAUCAAAUAUACAUCCAGUUCAAAAGUGAAGAAAAAGUUACUUUGAUAAAAUGCAUACCUAGUUCAGAAGCAGGCAUCCUAAUGUAGAGGUCCUGUCCUCCAUAAUGGUAAGUCCUGACAUCUAACAGAUCACCAAACCAGACCACACAUACACUACCAUCAAUCUUAGCAUAAGCCGUGCAAGAGCAAUUUCUCAAACAAGCCGCUGCACACUGCAUUGGAUCAAUCGCUAUUUUGUUUACCAGAAAAUUCGCGGUAUCAGGCAGCUUCAACUUGGAAAACCUUCUGAAUCCCUCUGGUCCACUGCAAUUCAAUGCAUUUUUUCGUACACAUCCACCUGACCAGUCCAUCCUUUGCCAAUCCGCAGGAAGUUUUGGGGUGAACCCUGGUGGACAACUACAAUAAGGGCUGUUAUUGAUGUUGCAAAUGCCAUAACUUCCACAGAGGGCAUACUGGUCACAAGCAUCGCUCUGCACCGUGGCUAUGUCCACCCAUUCGUUUCGCCUGAUGCUCCAAGUUAGAUGCUGAAUAAGUCCUGACUGGUUCAGUACGAAUCUAGAAACAAUUGAAUCAUUAGUGUUCUCAAAUGUGUAGUACUCAUUAUUUGCAUCAAACACGAAUUCUGGUCUAAAGACAGUGUUUUCUUCCAGGUCACCGCCCCCAAAGCGAACACCAUCCCAGGGUCCGCUUCUGUAUUGGAUGGCUGAUCCUUCGCUCAGAACAACUUGAGGAAGUCCGCCAGGAUCAACUCUAUACGUAUAGGCUCCUGUGGAUGGAUCCUGCAAGCUUUUCCAGGAUGUUAAGUACCAUUCCUGGUUUGUUCUGAAGUUCCAUCCAAGCUUCAUUCCGGGAAUUAAAGUAUCACACGGAUGAUCAAAGCUCUGCCACAGAUAGGUACCUGAAUUUUUGCCAUAGUCGCUACCAUUUUUCAGAACAAGAUUGCCAUUGUCCAGCAGCUGCAAUGUCGGAUUACUGACCAGUGUUGCGGAUGUAUUCGAUGCCCAGAUGAUAGAAUUAGUGCUGUUGUUGAUGAUGACAAUGCUUCCAGAUGGUGUGAUUGACAGGAUACCUGAUGAGCUUGGUAUCGGAUUGUCCUUGUUGGCAACCCAUACCACUGUUUGCUCUGGGAUGUUCUUGAACCAAAUUCCAAUGUAUCUUUUGCUCACAUUUGACGGACCAAAGAAGCCUAACUCGAAUUUUCGGCCAGCUGAAGCUAGUGUCCCCCCAUUGUCUAAUAGAACUUGAUUUGGUGCCAAGAAGUCAACUGCCGAAGAAAAUUGGCAGAAGAAGGGUGAAGCGAUCGAGAAGAUGAUGAAUAGGAUGACCAUCAUUCAUGAUCUCAAUCACCGAGCUCUAGAUCAUGUUUAUUGAGUUGAACAAGACAGGAAUGAUAAUAAAAAAAAGGUAAAACAAAACUUGCAAGAUUUGGACUUUGAAUUGUGAAUUGAAUAGUUCAGAUUUCAGAACUGGUAACAAAAAUUCCAAGAAUGACUUUGACUGGGUCAAAUGCUAAGUGGUAAAACAAUUUUUCGUGAUGAGAUAAAAGAGAGAGAAUAAUUGUGAACGCUACUAAGACAAAAAUAGAUGUGGCAAUUUGGAUUGAGAUCCAUUUAUUCAGUUGUAAUAUUGGUUUUAAAUGGUUGAUCAAAGUAAAACUAUUAAAUUAAAUAAAUUUAUAUGAAUUAUCCACAAAAAUCACAUAUAUCCAUUUACUUAAAAACCAAAUUGGUUGCAAAACUUAUUAGCUAACUGAAAUCCCGAAUUUGUUGACUAAAGCCGCACAUCACAGCUAGCUUGAGUUGGCUUGUCCAAGGAAUUAAAUAACCGUUGAGAAGUGGUGCAAGCAGGGAAGGAUGCUUCUAUUAUAAUCAUGGUCAAUGAAGCUGAAUUAUGUGGAGCUUUUCUUGAAUUGGGUCUAAUUUCUGAAGGUUUUUCUGUAUUAAAUGCAUUAAGAAUUUGCCAAGAAUAGAACUUUGAGGUUAUGCAUGAACUUGUGCCAUUAGCCACUAGGUGUAGAUCAUGGAUGCCUUCUCUGAGUGUUCAAGUCCUUAUGAAGAUGAUUUCACAGCGCAGAGAUGGUCCACCCACAUAUUCUCCUCUUUUAUUAGCUAGUGGCAUUGGCAUGCCUUCACUAGAACAUGCCUGAGUAAUGGGCUGUCACUGUUCAUACCUAAAUUCUUAAAUGAAAAAUCUAAGUAUUUUGUCCUCUUUCUCGUCCAAAUACAUCUAAAAUUUACAAGUACAUAAAAAAAGUAUCUCCAUAUUACAAGAAAUGGUAAUACAAAAAAAAAGUAACCAAAAUAUUUAAAUGGAUUAUAAAUGGAUAAUCGAUUUUUAUUUAAUCCAUUUAGAUUCAUUUAUUAAAUGGAUCUAAAUGGAUUGGAUAAAUUUCAUCCACCAUCCAUUAAGUCAAAACCAAUUAUGAACCAUUUAUCCAUAUUGCUAUCUCUAGACAAAAAGCAACACCUUCGGGCAGAAAUUGGUGAGACUCGAACUCUUGGUGCCCCAUUCUGCAUUUUUAGCUAUGAAAAAUUUCUUCCUUACUCAAGAGUCAGGACAAAAAGAAAAAGAUUUUUAAACAGCACCAGAGAGGAUUGGAUCAGUUGAGCAUACAAUAAAUUUCCAUCUCCAAGAUGAACACUUGCAGAAACUUUCCAAACAUUUUUCGUCACUUGGAGGUGCUAAAUUGUCCCUUCCUAUGCAUCCUGUUUAUCUAACCAGCACCAAUUGUAUUAAUGAGACAAACAUGAACAUAAAUUAACAGAAAAUCAAUCACAAGCAUCUAUGUACAAUGUUCAUAUGAUUCCCAAUAUUUGGAGUCAUUCGACAUAUGAACACGGAAAAAAAAGGGCUUGUUUCAGGGAGGAUAUAGCCAAACUCUUAGAUCAUCUUUGACACUUAACAACUAAGCCAUCAGGCAUACCAAAAGAUCUUAGCUAUACUUAAAACAUAUUGUGUUUAUGAUAUUUGCCAGGUUUAUAUUUCUCGAUAUUUCUGUUUGGUGAAGGUAAAAGUAUUGCAGGCUUAUACAAGUCGUCUACUCCAUGUUCUUGAAAUACUAGAAAUUGAGUGGAUGAUGUUAAAGGAUUUUUAUCAACAGCAUAAUUAAUACCUAAACAGCACUUCUAUCAAGAAGGUUUCAAAACGUCAAAUUUGUGUCAGAUGUAUGGAAAGAGGAGACAUAAUUCAUAUUGAAUAGAAACUGAUAUAGGGGACAAGGGCUUAAUCUCGUACACAGAGAAUGAGCUUUGUCUUCAUUAUAUGGAAUAUAGGUCAAUUUAGAUCAUGUAACUGGCUACUACCGUGAGUUGACAGUUUACUGUUAUAAUUUCUACUAGAUCUUUUACAUUUGCUUUCUUCAGUAUGUUGCAUCUUCCUCUGUAGAAAAUGUGGAAGCUUAACUUUGCUUAGUUCCAUCAUUCCAUCUUCGGAAACCAAAAGAAAGAACGUACAGAUGCAACAUGCAUUUGGUUUGCACCAUUUGAAAGUAGACAUUUCUUCUUCUUCGUUUCCUCCCACAUAAUAUGCUUCUCCAGAGAAAUAAUUAAUACCUAAACAGCACUUCUAUCAAGAAGGUUUCAAAACGUCAAAUUUGUGUCAGAUGUAUGGAAACAGGAGACAUAAUUCAUAUUGAAUAGAAACUGAUAUAGGGGACAAGGGCUUAAUCUCGUACACAGAGAAUGAGCUUUGUCUUCAUUAUAUGGAAUAUAGGUCAAUUUAGAUCAUGUAACUGGCUACUACCGUGAGUUGACAGUUUACUGUUAUAAUUUCUACUAGAUCUUUUACAUUUGCUUUCUUCAGUAUGGUGCAUCUUCCUCUGUAGAAAAUGUGGAAGCUUGACUUUGCUUAGUUCCAUCAUUCCAUCUUCGGAAACCAAAAGAAAGAACGUACGGAUGCAACAUGCAUUUGGUUUGCACCAUUUGAAAGUAGACAUUUCUUCUUCUUCGUUUCCUCCCACAUAAUAUGCUUCUCCAGAGAAAACUUUCUGCGCUCAUUUCGCAUAUUGAUUACUUACCCCGAGUGAGAGGUGAUUGACUUGUAAGUUGUGACCAUGUAACCAAAGCUAAUAACUGUACAAAAUUGGAAGACUCUUUGAAUUUCUCAAUCUUAUCUUCCUUCCACUGCUGUGAUAGUUAGUUC